rnacentral:lncRNA from 1 species
AAUGAGGUCAGAGAAAGAGAAUUAUUUUUUAAUAGCACUUUGAGUAUUGAAUCCAAGUUUGAACAAGAAGAAGAGGAUGAUGAAUCUCCUCCUCCGUCGCUGAUAUUCCGCAGUUGUAAAGUGGUGAGUGAGCUAACAUGCAUAUACAUAGUUUCUAGUAUCAGGUUGCUCUCCGAAUAUGUAAUACUCAAAUCUUUCAAGGACGGAAAACAGCUAUUCAAGAUCUUUCUCAACCUUGGACAAUAAAAGAUUUCCAACCUCUCAAGUUUAGGAAAUACAAUUUGGUCUUUACCCCCUUUACUCAAAAAGUCUUCCACCCAUUCUUCUAGCUUUGGCAAUCUCCGUAAAAUGAGUGUUGUCAUUGACGGAUACAGUGCUGCUGUGACUGCUUUUUGGGCCAGACUUUGGCCUCCACAUAAAUCAUUUCCGAUAACCUUGACAUUUUCCAUCCGGUCUAUAGAUAUCUCUCUCAGUUUAGGAAGGUGACCCAGUGGGGGAAAUCCUUCGCACCUGCUGCAAUAUUUCACGGCGAUUUUCACCAUGUUGGUCAUCGUUGGGAUCCAUGACGCAAAUUUCUUUCCCAUAAAGUCUUCAAUUUCCAAUGCUUUCAGAUUCGGGUGAGGUUCUAAUCCUUCCAACACACCCUCAUCAUUGAAUACUCCUUCUUCCCUAUCAUCUUCAUUGUUCGUCCACUUCAACAGUAAAUGUCGAAUAUUGGACUUUUCACACAGCUUUGCUUUACGUGCUUCUUCAAUAUUCUCCACGUCAUUAAGGCCAUAAAGGCUAAGCGUACCUCUAAGAUUUUUUAACAUUCCUAGUUGUCCAACGAGACAAUUUUGAUUUUUCUUCACAACAAAAUGAGGCAGCGUUUGCAAACAAGUUAACCUCUCAAUCCCAACAAACAUGUAACUAAUUUCAGGAUAGCCAAUAACAAGAUGUCUCAAGUUUGUAAGUUGGCAGAUGUUUUCUGGAAGCUCACGAUCCUGUGAAAUUCUUAGAGUCUGCAAGUUGUAGAGUCUUGUAAUGUGAUUCGGCAGUUUAUAGAUAGUAUCGACAUCUAUCCGCAGGAGAUCUAAAUGCUUAAGGUAUUUCAAAUUCCCAAUUGAACCAGGCACCUCAUUACAAAAUGAUUCUAAAACCAAAACUCUCAAGUACUUGAGUUUGGGUAACACAAAGUUAAAUAUAGUGAUCUCUGUAUAUAGUGCUUGUACUGUAUCAAAGCGUAGCUUAAACAUACUUCGUUUUACAUCUUUGAAUCCUUCCAGCCUUACAUAUGUAGCCUUUGAUCCCUUGUCAACAUCACGACUUGGAUUUACAGUAGUAGAAUAAUUACUUGACACAUCUAGUGCAAGAUCAUGCACAAGAUCAUGCAUCUUGCACUUGGUAAUAUAUCCGUAUUCAUCCUUUUCCACAUCUUGUAACAAAGAAUUUCCCAACAGGAUGUCAAAGUAAUCGUUUCCAAUGUCUUCCAUCAAAACAGUCCUAUCCCCCGGAAGGAAUCCCAAUGCCAUCCAUAUUUGUAUCAAUUCAUCUUUAUAAAUGUCAUGAUCCUUUGGCAUAAUGGAACAAUAUGCAAAACAUCGCUUCAAAGAAGAGUAAGGUAGAUUAUCAUAUGACAGCCUCAAGGAAGACAGUACACCUUUCGAUUUCCAUAUUUCACUGUUUUGGAUUAGCAACCACUCUUCUUCGGUCUUCUUUGAGUACAAUAAACUCCCUAGUGUUUUAAUUGCCAGAGGCAGACCUCCACAUCUUUCUACCAUUCGUUUACCCAAGGCCACAAAUGCCUCAGUCUCUAAAACUCCUCCAUUCGAAAAUGCUUUUUGCUUAAACAAUUCCCAACUAUCUUCCACUGUUAGUUUUGUCACCAGAUAAGGAUCAGAACACUGCAUAGCAUCAGUCACUUCCUGCUUACGAGUGGUAACAAAAAUUUUGCUGCCUCUGGCACCCCGAAUACCAAGCAAAGAAUUCCUCAACUUGUCCCAUUCUUCUGGUUUCUCAUUCCAAACAUCAUCUAGCACAAGUAAAAACUUUUCGCCCCUCAGCUUUUCUUGAAGAUUUUUUAUCAGACCUUCUGCAUUAUCCAGUACAGAAGGCCUCGAAGUGAGUGACACUACCAAUUGAUUCAAAAUCAUAAUGAAAUCAAAAUCAUCUGAUACAGUGACCCACAUCCUCUUCGGAAACAUGUUGAUCACAGCAUCUCUAUUGUAAACCAUGCGGGCAAGAGUUGUUUUGCCUUGACCACCCAUCCCGAGUAUUGCAUUCACUUGUAAAGCCUCAUCAUUUGGGUUGCACACCAUGUUAACUAGAAAUGAUAUGUCAUCAUCUCUUCCGACAAUCAGUGACUCGUCUUCAAAGGGUUGGGUGUAGCGUAUCUCACUGUGUUGCACAGUAGAUAUCAAAUGCUCUACUGGCUUAAGUCCAAUAUCAGUAGCCCAUUUACAAAUCUUGUCAAAGGAAUUAUUGAUAUUCUUGAUCUUAUGAGCCACUUUGGAACGAUAUAAUAAGGUGUUUUUAGAAGGAACAAAGAAGUCUCUUACCUUAUGACGAUUCUCCAGUUUUCUUCGAGUAACUUCAUACUCGAGUUCAUCCAUAAAAGCUUCAGCUGCCUGAGCCACAUCUUCAAGUUUGUUGAACCAAAUUCUGGCAGUAGACAUGAUUAAAUUCUUGGUUUGAGCAUCGUGCAAGAGAGCACCGAUUAGUUCAAAUCUCUCACGCAGUGUCUCCAAAUCUUCGUGAAGUUUCCAGACCUGAAUCACUUCAUCAGUUGCAAGUGAAACUAGCUUUCGGGCCAGACCAGCAGCAAGAUCGACUACAAUUGCUUCAGCCAUCUUUCUUGCUAACUUCUUCAGGUUACAAUCUUGAUGAUUUCAAGGACUAUCCCUUGAGAUCUAUUUGAGUCUGGUCAAGUCUGAGGAGCCAAAAAUUACAUAUGAUAAUGAGCCACUAACAUGAUGGGGCCAUUUUGUGCAAUAAUUUUCGUUUUCAAAUUUGUUGUUUUCUUCUUCAAUACUUUAUUUCCGCACCUAUAUGUUUCAAGUUUCAACACGCGGUAACAUUCAGUAAAUUAAUAGUAUACACUAAUAACGAAGACCGGAAAUAUUUAUAGAAACUGAAAAAGACUAAUGAAAGUCAGCACCGUGGUGAGCUUUAUGCAAUAGGAAUCUGGAAACAUAGUAUGAUGCUUGUCAAAACGUCAAAAAACCUCAACUAUGUAACAAGGUUUCAUUCAGUGUUUAGAUUAUGCAAUCCAGAACGAGCCGCUAAAGGAUGUACUAAUACAUUUCAAAUAUGGUGUAUGGGUGCCCAUUUAUUGUGCAGAUAAACCCUGACUAGAAAAAAACAAGAAUUCAAGCCCAGUUGUAGAAUGGCGACAAAGUGAGAAAUGGGUUAAAGACUGACCGCUUUUCCCCUUGAUGCUCCAUUGCCAAUCCAGUCCCAGUUCCAGUUUACAGAGCUGGCGGUGUUAGAUUUCCCCAAACUAAAGGCUGUAGAUUGCUCGGGGAUUUAAACCUUAAUUUUUUUUGGGAUAAAUAUGAAGGUCUCGUUUCGUCCAAAUUAAAUCACUAAUUCUCAAAUUAACUCAAACGAGAAACUCAUUAAAAAAAUUUGUAUAAAAAAUAUGAUUCUAUCGUUAGUCGAAAUUUUGAAAGUAUUAUAUAUUGAGUUUCGCACAUUUGUUUAUGAAUAGUAUUACAUCCAAAUGAAGGAUUCCGAGUUCUACUAUUUUCGCUAAUAUUUUUAGAUUUUUAAAAUUUUAUCAACUAUUUAUUUUUAAUUUUUUGAUUGUUUUAUUUGAUUUAAAUAAAAAAUAAUAGGAGAUAAAUUUUUAAAAUCUAAAAAUAUUAUCUUAAAUACUAGAAUUCAAAAUCUUUCAUUUAGAUGUAAUACCAUUCAUAAAAAAUGUGUGAAACUCAAUAUAUAAUAUUUUCAAAAUUUCGAAUAACGAUAGAGUGAUAUUUCUGAUACAAUUUUUUUUGAUGAGUGUCUGAUUUGAGUCAAUUUGGGAAUCAGCGACUCAAUUGAUACAUUUGAACAAAACGAGUGGCCUACUUGAUAGUUAUCCCAAUUUUUUUUUUCUUCUUUUUUGAAUUCAUAAAUGAAAUGAAUAGCUUGAAAGGGGUGAAACGGUUUAUCUGGUUGUUUGACUAGAGAAAAUUUGAUUGAAUAUAUGUAAAUAUUAUAUAUAUAUAUAUAUAUAUAUAUAUAUANNNNNNNNNNNNNNNNNNNNNNNNNNNNNNNNNNNNNNNNNNNNNNNNNNNNNNNNNNNNNNNNNNNNNNNNAUAUAUAUAUAUAUAAUCGGGUUGGGUUGGGUUAGUUCAGGGUUAAAAUUUGUAAAACCCUGACCCAACCCAACUUAAUCGGGUUUUUUAAAAUAUAACCCAUUUAUUUUUCGGUUUUGAACGGGUCGGGUUAAUCGGCCUAAAAAAGGGUCGGUUUGGGUUGGGUUAACGGGUUGAACGGGUUUAUGUUCACCCCUAGUACACACUAGCCAUCCAAAUUUCAAAAUGUACGGUUCGGUCAUUGAAGUUUCUUGUUAUGUACGGUUUGAUCACAAAAAAUUAACAAAAUAAAAACCGGGAGAGAGUUUAAUACACACGAUGUUAGAGGAGAGUGGAUAGUAGGUGGGGAGCAUGCAGUUACACCGGCAAUUCUAACUUCAUACACCAACACACACUUCUAAAUGAAAUAUAAAUCGUUUCACUUUUUGGCACACACUUCUAAAUUUUUUGACCGUAUAAUUAAAAUUGUUAAUUUUGAAAUUUUCUUUUUUAAAUAAAAAUAAUAGUUAAUAUUAUAAUUCACAAAAAGAAAUUUUUAAAAAUAAUGAUUUUUAUUUCAACUAUAUGGUCAAAAGGCUUAAAAUUGUGUGCCAAAAAGUCAAACCACUUAUAUUUCAAAACGGAGGGAGCAGCACUUAUUCAUUUGGACUUAUGUGUAAUGUGUAUCACUUAUUUGUUUCGACUUAUCAUAGAUAUUUUUUAAAAACUAUUAUAAUAAAUUAAAUAUUAUUUAUUAUUUUAAUAUAUUUCUAUCAUUAUCCAAAAUAAGGUGAUAUAAUAAAUCUCUUGUCAAAGGAAGCAUUAAUAUUCUUGAUCUUAUGAGUCACUUUGGAACGAAAUAAUAAGGUGUUUUUAGAAAGAACAAAGAAGUCUCUUACCUUAUGACGAUUCUCCACUUUUCUCCGAGUAACUUCAUACUCGAGUUCAUCCAUAAAAGCUUCAGCUUCAUGAGCAACUUGUUCAAGCUUUUUAAACCACAGUUGGGCAGUAGACAUGUUUAAAUUCUGGGUAUGAGCAUCGUUCAAGAGAGCACCAAUUAGCUCAAACCUUUCGCGCAGUGUAUCCAGAUCUUCAUGAAAUUUCCAAGCCUGAAUCAACUCAUUGGUUGCCAGUGAAACAAGCUUGCGAACCAGUCCAGCAGCAAGAUCAGCUCCAGUUGCUUCAGCCAUUUUUUCUUGUCAGCUUCUUUAGUGUAUUAUCUUGGAGUAGAUGUGUAUGCAUGUGGUGAUAGUUUUAAUGACUAUCCCUUGAUAUAUGUUGGAGUCUUGGUCAACUUUGUAGUGUGAACUUUGAUAGUUUUGUGGGGCAGAUGUGUAUGUGGUUACUAAACAACUCAUCAACAUUCUAUUACGAACACUGCUCUUGACAUUUUAUGAAAAGCGGAACAAAAUUCAACAAAUAACUCAUUGAAACAUUUCAUCAAACACAUGAGUAUGUGAUAAAUGACAUAACAUAUGAUUCAUAAACAGUUAACGAAAGAGAGUUAAAGACCGAAAGAGAUCAUUCUAUGCCCUGAUAGAAGUGAGCAGUGAAGAGUAGCAAAGAUUGGGUACAGGAGAGGAGAAGAGCACUAACCCUCUGACCAAGCUUCUGCAGACUAUUCAUUGUGAACAUUUAAGCAACAACAUGAACAAGCACAGUUUCAAAGAACUAAUGACUAAUUACUUGCUGACAACUUCACAAUUUGAGGCUAUAACCUAGGUUUACAAUUGGAAUAUGUUUAAUCUUAAACCAUUCUGGUCCGCUCCCCUUGCAAUAUCUUUCUUUCAGAAUUGGACACCCACUUAUCUCCAGGCGUUCAAGGCAAUGAGAUUCGUCAAACAUGGGCAAACUCUCCAAAUUCUUGCAAUUGCGAAUAACUAAGAUCUUGAGAGAUGGGAGCUUUGCUAUUGGAAGGAGAAGACCACUCACACCUUCGAAAUCAGAUAUAAUUAGUUCAGUCAAGGCAGGGAAGGCUGUGAACUGAAGUUGCUCAACGAGCGCUAUCGAUCUUACAUUUUCCCACCCACACAGUUGUAGCCGAAUCAGGUUAGGAAAUGAGGAGGAGGAAGAAGAAGAGAAUGGCAAAGGAAAUUCAACCAAUUCAUCCGAAAAGGGACCUAAAUACAAAUCUACAACUGUGGAACUCUGAAUUUGGUUAAAAACCCGAUCUAAAAGAGAGGAGGGGAGAUUCCUAAUCGAAAGAUCUGUUAGACUAACUGACCCUUGAACUAAGUUAAUACUAAUUAGAUGCGGGCAAUCAUGUAUACGUAAACUGUCAAGAGAGACACCAAGCACCAGACGUUUUAAACCCUUGCAGUCAUCUAGGUGUAAUUUUCUGAAAGACUGAGAAUUAUUUCUCAAUAGCACAUUAAUUAUCGAUUCCAUGUUCGAACUUGAGGAAGAAAAUGAACUUCCUUCUCCGUCCUUGAUAUUCUUGAGCUUUAAAGAGGUGAGUGAACUAACAUCUCUGCUGAUCAUUUCUAGUAUCAUGCUGCUCUCCAGAUCUUCGAUUUUCAACACCUUCAAGGACAUAAAAGAACUAAUCGGGAUUUUUCUCAACGUUGGACAGUUGAAGAUUUCAAACUCCUGAAGUUGAGGGAAUACACUUUGGCCAUAAUUGACGCAUGUACUUGUGACAUCUUCUACCCAUUCUUCUAGCUUUGGCAUAUCUUCCAAAUGGAGUUCUCUCAGUGAUGGAUACAGUGUUGAUGUAACUGCUUUCUGGGAUCCACAAAAAUCGUUUCCAACGACCUUAACAUUUUCCAUCCCACUAAUACAGCAGUACUUGAGUUUAGGAAGGUGACCCAAUGGAGGAAGUGUUGGUUAUUUUAGUGUAAAUUGAAUUAACUAGUUGAUCAAUGUAAUCAUAAUAUUACAUCGAACAAGUCAGGAGAGUACGGAGUGUAUGCUUAGUUCGAGUUUAUUAUGAUUAUUAGUGCUUAUGAGGCAUGUUCAUUGGCAUUAGACACAUCUAUUGGAAAAGAAGUGUCUAUUGGCAUUGGAUUUGUCCAUUGACAUUAGACACAUUUAUUGGGAUAAGAUGUGUCUAUUGCCAUUAGACAAAUCUAUUUGGAUUAAGACGUGUCUAUUGUCAAAAGACACAUCCGUUGACAUCUAUAUAUAGAUGUUGCAUUGAUCAUUUCAAGAUAGAUGGUUCAUUUGAAAUACACAACAAUACACAUUCUCUCUUCUUGCAGAAUUUCUGACUUUAUCCGAUUGAAUUAUUUGGUGAACCACAAAUAACUUCAAUCUGAAAGUGUUCACACGACUUCAGAAAAAUCCAAGUUACAACCAAAUCUACAACAAAGAUUGAAGUUAUUCUAUUCUGAAGAUGACGAACGGAGAAUCUGCAAAAGAUAUGACAAGUAAGUUUGCAAAGUUGGACAAGUUUGAGGGUCAAGAUUUUCGAAGAUGGCAAAAGAAGAUGCAUUUUUUGUUGACCACGCUAAAGGUUGUGUAUGUUCUAAGUACUCCUAUGCCAGAAGAGAUUGAGAAUGAAACUAUUGAACAAACAAGGCAACGCUGCAAAUGGGAAAACGAUGACUACAUAUGUCGCGGUCACAUCCUAAACGGUAUGUCUGAUUCCCUUUUCGAUGUAUAUCAAAAUGUUGAGUCAGCGAAAGAAUUGUGGGAUUCUCUUGAAUCCAAGUACAUGGCAGAAGAUGCUUCUAGUAAGAAGUUUCUUGUCAGUAAUUUUAUGAACUAUAAAAUGGUCGAUUCUAGACCGGUGAUGGAACAAUACAAUGAAUUGUUAAGGAUUCUGGGACAGUUUGUUCAACACAAUUUGAAGAUGGAUGAAUCUAUCUCUGUUUAUGGUGUUAUUGACAAACUGCCACCAUCAUGGAAGGAUUUUAAACACACCUUGAAACAUAAUAAAGAAGAUAUGACAUUGGUUGAACUUGGAAGUCACUUCCGAAUUGAAGAGGCUUUGAGGACUCAAGAAAAUGAGAAUAAUCCUAAGGGCAAGAACCAAGUCGGUAACUCUUCUGUGAAUAUGGUUGAAGAUGGUGGAUGUUAUAAGAAUCCUAAAAACAACAAGGGUGACAAACGGAAAUUCAAAGGAAACAACAACAACUUUUCCAACAAGAGGCCUAAGAUUGCAUGUUGGAAGUGUGGCAAACCUGGACAUUUCAAGAAGGAUUGUCGGGUUGGUAAAAGUAAGCAAGAAAGGCUUAAUGCUGGUCCAAGUGGAUCCAAGGAUCCAGAAAAGCAACAAGGUCAGAUUUUGAUCAAAAAUUGUAAUUCUGGUCAGAAUUAUGUAUCAUUGAUAUCUGAUGCAUUUUAUGUGCAGGAUGAUAAUGUUGCUUGGUGGAUUGAUUCUGGAGCAACAAGUCAUGUAUGUAAAGAUCUUCGUUGGUACACAGAAUUUCAACCAAUUGAAGAUGGAUCUAUCUUAAAGAUGGGAAAUGUUGCAAUUAAACCGAUCAAAGGGCUAGGAAAUGUUAAGCUAGUGUUUACUUCUGGAAAAUGUAUAUAUUUAAAUAAUGUGUUGUAUGUACCUGGGAUUCGAAAGAAUCUCUUGUCUGGUGUUGUAUUAAAUAAUUGUGGAUAUAAGCAAGUUUAUGAAAGCACCGAUCAAAGGGCUAGGAAAUGUUAAGCUAGUGUUUACUUCUGGAAAAUGUAUAUAUUUGAAUAAUGUGUUGUAUGUUCCUGGGAUUCGAAAGAAUCUCUUGUCUGGUGUUGUAUUAAAUAAUUGUGGAUAUAAGCAAGUUUAUGAAAGUGACAAGUAUAUCUUGUCAAAACAUGGCACUUUUGUUGGCUUUGGUUACUUAUGUAAUGGCAUGUUUAUGUUAAAUGUAAAUACUCCAUUUAAUGAUGAAUCUUCUUGCAUGACUUCUACUAGUACUAGCCUAAAUUUAAAUAAAUCAGAAUUAUGGCAUGCUAGACUAGGACAUGUACAUUAUAAAAGAAUAAAGGAUAUGUCUAAAAUGAGUCUCAUACCUGCUAUUGAUUUGAACAAUGAAAAAUGUAAAACAUGCAUGUUAACAAAGAUAACUAGAAAGCCCUUUAAAGUUGCUAAUAGGGUGUCUGAUGUAUUAGAAUUGAUACACAGUGAUUUGUGUGAUUUUCAUUCUACACCAUCAUUAGGAAAUAAAAAGUAUGUUGUUACUUUUAUUGAUGAUGCUUCUAGAUAUUGUUAUGUAUAUUUGUUGCAUGCGAAAGAUGAAGCUCUUGACUCCUUUAAAAUAUAUAAAGAAGAAGUAGAGCUACAUCAUCAUGGUACCUUGAUUAAAAAUCUACGUACUGAUAGAGGAGGUGAGUAUUAUGAUCCAGUGUAUUUUCAAUCUACUGGUAUAAUACAUCAAACCACGGCUCCUUAUACACCACAACAAAAUGGUGUAGCAGAAAGAAAAAAUAGGACUUUGAAAGAAAUGGUUAAUUCCUUGUUGUCCUACUCGGGUUUGAGUGAGGGUUUUUGGGGUGAGGCUAUGUUGACAGCCUGUUAUUUAUUGAAUCGAAUUCCUAGUAAGAGGAAUAAAAUUACUCCUUAUGAACUCUGGUGAUAUGAUUGAUGAAAACAGAUUUACAUCUAUACCUAGACCGAGGGACAUGCUUCUAUAUUCUUCUAGUAGGAACUCAGUUUCUACAGAAGAUGUUCAUCAACCGUCUGAACCAAGGAGAAGCACUAGAGCUAGAAAAACAAAGUCUUUUGGAGAUGAUUUUCAUCUUUAUCUAGUUGAGGGUUCUAGAGAUGAAAUCAAAGAUCAAUAUCAAUAUUGUUUUAUUAUUGAGGAGGAUCCAAAAACUUUUACUGAAGCUAUGACAUCGAGGGAUGUUGCAUUUUGGAAGGAAGCUAUCCAGGAUGAAAUGGAUUCUAUCAUGAAUAAUAAUACAUGGGAAUUGAGUGAUUUGCCCCCUAGCUGUAAAGCAUUGGGAAACAGAUGGAUCUUCAAAAGGAAAAUAAAGGUGGACGGUACGAUAGAUAAGUUUAAAGCCAGAUUGGUAAUCCAAGGCUUUAGACAAAAGGAAGGGAUUGAUUAUUUUGAUACUUAUGCUCCUGUUGCUAGGACUUCAACUAUUAGGUUGUUAAUAGCACUUGCUGCUAUACACAACCUUGUCAUUUAUCAAAUGGAUGUGAAAACUGCAUUCUUUAAUGGUGAAUUAGAUGAAGAGAUUUAUAUGAAACAACCCGAAGGGUUUGUUGUGCCUGGUUGUGAUAAAAAGGUGUGUAAAUUGAAGAAAUCAAUUUAUGGUCUAAAGCAAGCACCGAAGGAUUGGCACGAUAAAUUUGAUAAAGUGGUCUUGUCUAAUGGUUAUGUUAUUAACCAAGCAGACAAGUGUGUAUAUAGCAAAUUUGAUUCUUCUGGUAAAGGAGUUAUAAUUUGUUUAUAUGUGGAUGACAUGUUGAUUUUUGGUACAGACCAAAAUCAAGUGGAUAAAACCAAGAAGUUCUUGUCAUCUAAUUUUGAUAUGAAAGACAUGGGGGAGGCUGAAGUGAUUCUUGGUAUAAGGAUCAAGCGUGAGAAUAAUGGUAUUUCAAUUUCUCAAUCUCAUUAUAUUGAGAAGAUUUUGAAAAGAUUUAAUUUUAAGGAUUGUUCUCCAGUUAGCACUCCUCUUGAUCCUAGUAUUAAACUCCUACCAAAUAAAGGUGUUUCAGUAUCUCAACUUGAGUACUCAAGGGCUAUUGGUAGUCUUAUGUAUGCCAUGAUAAGCACUAGGCCAGAUAUUGCCUAUGUUGUUGGAAAGCUUAGUAGGUACACUAGCAAACCAAGUUCACAUCAUUGGCAAGCCUUAAGCCGAGUAUUCAAGUACUUGAAAGGAACCAUGGAUUAUUGUUUAACAUAUACUGGAUUUCCUUUGGUUAUUGAAGGUCAUUCGGAUGCAAGUUGGAUUUCCAAUGAGGAAGAUCAUUCUUCCACAAGUGGAUGGGUAUUCCUCCUUGGGGGAGGUGCUAUCUCUUGGUCAUCAAAGAAACAGAGUUGCAUUACAGACUCAACAAUGGAAUCUGAAUUUGUGGCAUUAUCAGCUGCUGGUAAAGAAGCUGAAUGGCUAAGAAAUCUGAUAUAUGAAAUUCCAUUGUGGCCAAAACCUAUAUCACCCAUAUCAAUAAGGUGUGAUAGUCAAUCUGCCUUGUCUAAUGCUUAUAGAGAAGUGUUUAAAGGCACAUCUAGACACAUAGGUGUUAGACAUAGUAUGAUUCGUGAGCUUAUCACUCACGGUGUUAUAUCAGUGGAGUUUAUAAGAACUCAACAUAAUUUAGCCGAUCAUCUUACCAAAGGAUUGAGUAGAGAUCUUGUGCACAAGUCGGCUGUGGGGAUGGGAUUAAAGUCCGUUUAAAAGUCUCUCAUGUUGAGAAACCCAAUUCUCACCUAAGAUUACACCAGGUGCUGAAUUUAAUGUGGAAACUUAACAUCUAGAGAUUGGAACACAUUAAAGCAUCAUCCCAAGUUAUGUGUUCAGACCUGCAAGAUAAAGAGGUUGAAGUCUAUCUUCUUAAUAGUUCUUUUGAAAAAUCGCAUAUGCAGGUGCGAGAAUAAAAGAACUACCUAUUUGAGCAUGAAGUUUAGCCGCUUCAAGAAGCUUGGACUUGGCUUUGAUAUGCUUACGAAGGAUUGGGACACAAGGCUAGUAAAAUAUAGUGUCAAGUAAGAAAAUGUGAGAAUGUAAAGUUAUGUGUAUAUUAUCUUCAUGUAUUCAUUAUGAAUAGUAGAGGUUCAAUCCAUCGCGAUACCUUGAUAUUCGAAUAUUUGAAAUGUGUAAUAUACUAAUGUGAAAUUCAAUCGUCAUGAUAUUUCAUUUAUGCAUAACUUUGUUAUUUGUUGUGAUUUUGUUUAGUUGAUUAUGGAUUACACUAAAAUGGGGGAGGAUUGUUGGUUAUUUUAGUGUAAAUUGAAUUAACUAGUUGAUCAAUGUAAUCAUAAUAUUACAUCGAACAAGUCAGGAGAGUACGGAGUGUAUGCUUAGUUCGAGUUUAUUAUGAUUAUUAGUGCUUAUGAGGCAUGUUCAUUGGCAUUAGACACAUCUAUUGGAAAAGAAGUGUCUAUUGGCAUUGGAUUUGUCCAUUGACAUUAGACACAUUUAUUGGGAUAAGAUGUGUCUAUUGCCAUUAGACAAAUCUAUUUGGAUUAAGACGUGUCUAUUGUCAAAAGACACAUCCGUUGACAUCUAUAUAUAGAUGUUGCAUUGAUCAUUUCAAGAUAGAUGGUUCAUUUGAAAUACACAACAAUACACAUUCUCUCUUCUUGCAGAAUUUCUGACUUUAUCCGAUUGAAUUAUUUGGUGAACCACAAAUAACUUCAAUCUGAAAGUGUUCACACGACUUCAGAAAAAUCCAAGUUACAACCAAAUCUACAACAGGAAGUACUUCACACCAUACGACGAUUCUCCACCUUCCUUCGAGUAACUUCAUACUCAAGUUCAUAUAUAAAAAGCUUGAGCAACAAUAGCCAUAUCCUCAAGUUUGUUGAACCACAAUCUGGCAGUAGUCAUAGUUAAAUUCUAGGCAUGAGCAUCGUCCAAGAGAGCGCCAAUCAAUUCAAAUCUGUCACGCAGUGUCUCCAAAUCUCCGUGAAGUUUCCAGACCUGAAUCACUUGAUUACUUGCAAGUGAAACUAAGCUUUCAGACCAGUCCAGCAGCAAGAUCACCUACAAUUGCUUCGGCCAUCGUUCUUGAUUAUUUUUUAUCAUUAAUGGUUGUAAUGUCUACUUUGAGGAGCCACACCCACCUGAAUGGGGGACACAUUGUGUAAAAAUUUUCGUUGCAAAUUUUGUUUGUUUGCAAAAUUACAAAUUUUAGGCGGAGUUUUCUUGUAUGGACGUUCAGGCUUGAUGAUCUCCACCAAUUUGCUUUGGCACAGAGUUAUGUAAUAAUGGGUAAAGGCCUAACAUACCUGCUUUUCUCGGUGUUCCAAUAAUCCUUGAUUAAUUCUUAUAAAAUAUUUUUUCAAGUUAUCGAUUACAUUCUGAUUUGAUUAAAAAUCUUUAAUUUAUCAAAAGAUAUCCGACACAUGCUGAAUAAAUAGGUCAACAGAAUUAGUUUUGAUUUCCGGUCUCUAGACCCAUGUGAUUUUUUCCAAAUAAAAGUUAGCGAAAUACCUGUUGGCCGAAAAGCCAGCUCCAAAUACCAACCAAAAUGCAUUUAAAAGUCAUUCGUCUCUGACAACCGUGUCUCCAAAUCUUCAUGAAGUGUCCAAACCUGAACCACUUCAGUAGUUACCAAAUAACUUCAUUACUUGCAACAAAGACUCAACUUGAUUAGUGAUGAAAGAACAAUGUGACUUACAGAACCAUGUUUACAGUUCACAAAAAUAGAGGCCUUCAUCUUUGUGCAACUUGGAUGCCAGCUUAAAGAUGUUUAAUGUUAUAUUACAGAAGGUAUACUUCCUCUCUUUUCUCUGCUUUUAUGUAAAUUUAGCAGGACUAAUACAUGUUAGGAGUUUCCGAUAAGCGCAAUAAAAUUGUUAGUCUCGCACAAUGGUAUUAUAAUCAGUAAAAAUGUUUGUGGAGUUCAUGAUAAGUGUAAUGAAACUGCUAGUCUAGGCAUCAAUCCCUUAUGCAACAAACAUGCCAGUGAGAGAACUUAUCAUGAAAAUUAACUGUACAGAAACAGAGGGGAUACAUUUGAUGUAGUCUAGGAAUCUAUAUUUGGAAUCUGCUGAAUCCCAUUCCCCUUCCAACAUCUCACUUCUAGAAUAGGACACCCAAAUAUAAGGUAGUUUAGAGCACUUGACUCUUCAACUACAUUGAUACUCAUUAGAUCAGCGCAAUUGACCACUUUUAAAUAUUCAGUAGCGACACCAAGGGUUAUGCUCGUCAAUCCCUGGCAGUCAUAUAGGUUCAAAGUUGUCAAAGACGGAGAAUUGUUCAAGAGCUUGUUAAUUACAGAGUCCAUAUUUAUGUAAGAAGAAGAAGAGGCUCCUCCCCUGUUACUGAUAUCACUCAGACGUAGAUGUGUGAGAGAGUGAAUCUUUCUGCUCAUUGUUUCUAGUAUCACGCCGCUGUCCAAAUUUGAUAUUCCCAACUCCUUUAAUGAUGGAAAACAACUACUUGAGAUCCUUGUCAACUUUGAACAUCUCUUAAUAUCUAACACCUCAAGUUUAGGAAACGAUACGAACCUAGUUUGGUCUUCAGUACUAGUUACUGGUUCUAGCCACUCUUCUAGCCUUGUCAGCCCUCGCAGUAUUAGUUUUGUCAAUGAUGGAUACAGGGUUCUAACCAGGUUUGUGGCUUGAUCAAAAUUGCUCUUGAUAACCCUCAAAUUAUCCAUCCCUACUAUCUUCAUCUCCCUCAGUUUAGGAAGGUGUCCCAGUUGUGGAAAUUCUUCACAUCUGUUGGCGUUUCUCAAUGUGAUUUUCACCAAAUUGUCCAUCAUUGUAAUCCAAGAUGCAAAUUUUUUCGCCAUGAAGUUGUCAAUCGUCAAUUCUUUCAGGUACGUGUGAGGUUCUAAACCUUUCAUCACAUCUUCAUAGUUAAAUUCUUUGUCCUCCCUUUCAUUUUCAUUGUUGCUCCAGUCUAAUAGUAAAUGCUGAAUACGAGGCUUUUGACAAAGUUUUGCCUUACUCGCUUCUUCCAUAUUAACCACGUGCCUCAGAUCGUAGAGUUUAAGGUUACCUCUAAGAUUUUUCAGCCCUCCUAGUUGUCCAACUAGACAAUUUUGGUCUCUACUGACAACAAAAUGAGGAAGCGUUUGAAGACAAAUUAACCUCUCUAUUCCAAUAAACAUGCAUCUUCUAGGAUUGUUGUCUGCAAAUUUAUUCUCGACAAAGAGAUGUCUUAGGUUAAGAAGGUUGCAAGCCUUCUUUGGAAGCUCAUGUAAAGCUGAAAUUCUUAGAGUCUGCAAGUUGUAGAGUCUUGAGAUGUAAUCUGGCAAUUUAUAACUCUUGCACCCGAGAGAAUUUGAGAUAUCGAGAUGCUUAAGGUAUUUCAAAUUCCCUAUCGAACUUGGCAACUCAUUAGAAAAUGACUUUAGAACCAGCACUCUCGAGUGUUUGAGGUUGGGUAAGAGGACACUGAUAAUACUAGCCUGUGAGUAUAGUGAUUGUACUGUAUAAAAGUAGGCCUUGUAGAUAUUUGGUUUUAUAUCCUCAAACCCCUCCAGCCUUACAUAAAUUGCCUGAGAAAGCUGGUUAGAAUCCUGACUUGGUGUUACGGUUUGGGAGUGAUUAGUUGACACAUCUACAGCAAGAUCAUGCACAAGAUCAUGCAUUUUGCAACAGGUGAUAUUGCCAUAUUCAUCCGUUUCCACGUCUUGUAACAAAGAAUUCGACAACAAAAUGUUGAAGUAUUCACUGCCUAUGUCCUCCAUCAGCAAACUGGUAUCUCUAGGAGGCAAAAGGAAUCCUAAUGCCAUCCAUAUAUGUACCAUUUCAUCUUUAUAUAUAAGAGAAUCCUUUGAAAGAACAGAAAAUAUGCAAAACAUCUUUUCAAUGAUGAAUAUAUGGUAAAUUGUCAUAUGACAACCUCAAGGAUGAUAAUACCCCUUUUGAUCAUUUCCAUACUUCACUGUUUAAGAUCAACAGCCACUCUUCCUCCGACUUCUUUGAGUACAAUAAACCCCCUAAUGUUUUUAUUGCCAGAGGCAGGCCGCCACACCUUUCCACCAUUCUUCUUCCCAAGUCUACGAAUUCCCUGGUCUCUAAAACUCCUCCAUGUGUAAAUGCUCUUUGCUUGAAUAGUGCCCAACUAUAUUCUUCUGAAAGUUUUUCAACCCUAUAACAAACAGAACAUUGCAUGGCAUCGAUGACUUCCUGGUUACGCGUGGUCACUAGAAUGCUGCUUCCUUUGGCACAACCAACUCCAAGCAAAGAAUUCAUCAAGCUAUCCCACUUAUCUGCUUUCUCAUUCCAUACAUCAUCCAGUACAAGUAAAACCUUUACCCCCUUUAGAUGUUUUUGAAGAUUUUUGAUCACUGCUUCGGUGUUAUCCAACACUGAAGUGGUUAAAGUAAGCGAUCCUACCAUCUGAUUCAAAAUCUUCAUAAAAUCAAAAUCAUCUGAUACAGUAACCCAUAUCCUCUUUGGAAAUAUAUUGAUCACAACAUCUUUAUUGUAAACCAUGCGAGCAAGAGUUGUCUUACCUUGACCCCCCAUCCCUGCUACAGCAACGACCAGUAAAUCCUCAUCAUGAAUUUCAGACAAGACAUGAACUAAAUUUGAUACAUCUUCAUCUCUUCCGACUACUUGUGUCUCGUCUUCAAAGGGCGCGGUGUGACGGAUCCCUCUCACUUGUACAGUUGCACUCAAUUGUGCUAUGGGUUGCAGUCCAAGAUCUGCCGCCCAUUUAAAAAUCUUGUCAAAGGAUUUAUGAAUAGUCUUGAUCUUAUUAGCCGCCUUAAAACGAUUUAAUAUGUUGUUUUAGGAAGGAACAAAGAAGUCCCUUCCCCUGUUAUGAUUUUCCACCUUUUGUCGAGUAACUUCAUAAGCCAGCUGAUCCAUAAAAACAUCAGCAACAUGUGCCACAGCUUUGAGUUUGCUGAACCAGGUUUGGACAGAAAACAUAUCUAGUUUCUUGGUAUAAGUAUCUGACAGGAGAGCAUCGAUAGAUUACAGCCUUUCGCGCAGUGUUAAUAGAUCUUCAGAAAGAUUCCAGGCCUGAAUAACUUCUUCAGUAGCAAGUGAAAUAAGCUUGCGAACCAGUCCGCUGGCUAGAUCAGCUACAAAUGCAUCAGCCAUGCUUUUAUCAAUUUCAGUUACCUGAUUAUAUCAUGAAUAUUUGCAUGUUAAAAGAUUAGUAUUUGGGUAGUAAUGGAGUCUUCUUCAACUUUGGGCUAUCAAAAGUCAGAUGUAAUAGUAUUAUUGAAUUCUUUAUGCCCUCUUUGUCACAACUUUAAGCUACCAUGUCCUGUGGAUGGUGAGUUGAAUAGAAAUUUAUCAAGUGGGGGAAGCUGAGGGCAAAGAAAGCCAAUCCAGCUAAAAGUCAAUAGCCUCCUAGAAGAUGGCAUCUUUACUCUUUACAUGCCAGGUGAUGAUCUUCAACUAAAUCUAUAUUUAUAUUCAUUUAUUUUAUCGAAUUCAGAUUAGAUUAAUAUUGGAUUUUUUACGGGCCGAUCCGAAUCCGUCAGAGACGACACGGAUCUCGAACUCCACUAUGUAUAAUUUAUUUUAUUUUAAAGAAAAUUGACUUGUUAUAAAAUUAUAAAAGACCAUUUAUCGUUUACAAUUGAACAAAAUUUAAACCAAAAAAUAUUUAAAAAGAAAAAAAUAAAUGUAAAUCGACGGUCAAUAUUGAUUCGAGAAUAUAAAUGAAAAAGAAACAUGAAAAUAGAGAAUGUAAAAUCUCGAUAAGAUUAUUUUGGAGCAAGUCUAUCGUCCUAAUAUAAAAAAAAUGUUUGAUACCCAGACGACAGAAAACUUACAUGGGUGUAUUCGAUUGGGAUUUUAAUGCAUUGUUUUUAGUCUAUGGAUUUUAAUGGAUUGUAUCAGAUUUUGAUUUUUUGCGGAUUCUUGAUGAAAUGUCGCAGAGUUGAUAGGAUUUAGGUACAAUGCUUCAAAAUCCCAUUGAAUUUGGUGGGAUUUCAAAAAACUUAAAAUACACUGAAGAAUGCCACAAAAUCCAUCAUUUUAUGAAAUGAAAAAAAAUCCAUCAGCAUUUGAAUACCAUCAGAUUUUAAUGGAUUUUAAACAAUCCCAAUUGAAUACCAUCGGAUUUUAAAGUAUAAUUUAAAAUCCCAAUUGAAUACCACUAGAUUUUGUAGCAUAGUUUAAAAUCCCAAUUGAAUACCUCAAGAUUUUAAUGGAUUUCAAACAAUCCCAAUCGAAUACCCUCGGAUUUCAUGAAUGCAAAAAAAUGCUUUAAAAUCUCAAUCCAAUACACUGAAGAAUGCCACAAAAUCCAUCAUUUUAUGAAAUGAAAAAAAAUCCAUCAGCAUUUGAAUACCAUCAGAUUUUAAUGGAUUUUAAACAAUCCCAAUUGAAUACCAUCGGAUUUUAAAGUAUAAUUUAAAAUCCCAAUUGAAUACCACUAGAUUUUGUAGCAUAGUUUAAAAUCCCAAUUGAAUACCUCAAGAUUUUAAUGGAUUUCAAACAAUCCCAAUCGAAUACCCUCGGAUUUCAUGAAUGCAAAAAAAUGCUUUAAAAUCUCAAUCCAAUACACCCCUCUUAGUUUCUCUUAUUUUCAUCUUUGUUGAAAAAGUACUUACUACAUUAUUACAUCUUUGAAGAAAGCAUUUGUAUCAGAAGUAUCCUUGACAUUUUCCAACUCCAUUGUAGCAUCAUCUUGUUCUUUGUUGUAAACAAAAAAGUUUGCAGCCAGAAGAAAAAACAAGAGGUUAAUAAAGCUCAGAACAGCAUAAAAUGCGUAGAAAUAGUCCAAGCGAGACACAUUCAAGUUGUCCAAAAUCCAGCCCUUGUGACCAUCCCUCUUAGUGAAAUCAGACACAGUUGUUAGAAUAAAACUGCUUAGAAAAUUCCCCAUACUCAAGCUAGUUGUAUAAUAGGCUGUGCCCAAGCUUUUCAUACUUUUUGGAGCUUGAUCAUAGAAGAAUUCAAGUCUCCCCACUUCCCAAAAUGUGUCAGCAACCCCCAUCAGAGCAUACUGAGGAAGUAAUAUGAAAAUGCUGAGCGGAACAAUUUGAUUUUUCUUUGUAAUGCCGUGAUCUUUAAUGACGUUUAAUCGCUUCCUUUCACAAACUGAAGCAAUGAUCAUGAUGAUGACAUGCAUUACUAGGCCUAUUCCCAUUCUUUGCAGCAUUGGGAUCCCUCUUGGAUUUUUGGUGUAGCUUCGAAGCGUGGGAACCAGGAAUUUAUCAUAGAUCACAACAGUGAUCAGCAUAAAGAUUGUUAUGAAUGCUACAAGAGAUGCCGGGGGAAUGCUGAAAUGAGGACCUAUGCUUCUAACAAGAGUGGUACCUUGCUUGAUGAAGAGCGUAUGUCCUUGAGCUAUCAGGGUGCUAGGUAAGAAUGAUACUAAUAAGAUUGGCACCAUUUUCACCAUUUGUUUUGUUUCUUCAACUUCAGUCACUGUGCACAGCAUCCAGUGAGGGCUCCGUCCAUCCACAACAGCUGCUUUAUCUAGUAUUCUGUGUAAAAGAAAAAGAUAAUUAAAAGUCGUACUCAUAACACAAGACUCCUGUAAAGGAAACAGAGAACCAUAAACCUCUUCUUUGAUAAAAAAAAAAAAAAAUGACANCUAAAACUUAAAAGUCGUACUUAGUGCACAAGACUCCGGUGUCAAAAGUAAAAAAGGAAACAGAGGACUAUAAACCUCUUCUUUGAUGAAUAAGAAAUACGACCUUAGUAAAGGAGAGUGUUCAAUUCUAUACUUUCCAGGUUUGGAAUAUUCAUCCAAAUUCAACUCAUGUAGUUCUUUUGGAUCAUCCGGGACAACCACAUCCCAUUUUCUAAUAGUGGCUAUAAGAACUCUAGCCAUCUUGGUCAAUGGGCUCCCAGAUGCAGGUUGGUGCCUAUAAUAAGGCGAGCCUGCUAGAAACACCAAUAUUGAUAAAAAGAGUCCGAUUGUUGGAAGACCAUAUCCAAGUCCCCAGCCUGCAUGAUCUUGUAUAUAGACUAGGAAAGUGCUGGCAAAAAGUGUGCCGAAGAAGAUACUAAAGACCCACCAAUUAAAGAAUGAUAUUUUCUGGGUUUUUUCUGUUGGCUCAAAUUCAUCAAACUGAUCUGCACCCAUUGUUGAGAUGUUGGGCUUUGUCCCUCCAGUUCCAAGUGCAAUUAUGUACAAUGCACAGUAGAAAAUACCCACUUGAAAAGGUGAAGCUUGCUUGUCACAGUCCACGUCUGAUAUACUGUCACCGCAUGAUGGUGGCCGGAGAGAUUUUAAUGAAACUACUAGUGUCAGCAAGGACAUGCCCUGUUACACAACAAAUAUUUGAGCCCAAGCAAAGCAAUCAAAACAUAUAGUCAAGAUCACAGAUAUAUGUGAAACUCGCGAACAAUUUUAUGUUUUCAUACCCCAAGAUAGAUGAAGGCUGAAACGAUGAAAGUCCAGUAACGGCCAAGAUGAGCAUCCGCGAUGUAGGCACCUAGAAUGGGUGUCAGCCAGACAGUGCCAACCCAGUUGGUGACAUUGUUUGAAGACUUCACGGUGCCUUCAUGUAAUUUUCUUGUGAGAUACAGCACUAGAUUUGUUGAUAUUCCAUAAAAUGCCAUCCUCUCAAAUGCUUCAUACCCUUCAAAAUCAUUCAUUAUACGGAAUAAAUUAGAAAAUCAAACCAAAAUUUAUUUUCUUCACCUUGAUACAAAAUAGUACAUGAGUUGAAUGUGGUAAAUGUUCCAUUGGAUGACAUCAGAAUUAUCAAAAGAAGCAAUAGAAUCUUGUUGACAUACCUACAAUGAAGGAGGUUGCUCUCCAUCUCCCUGUGUUUGAUCUUAACACAGGAUUACCCAUGAGGUCAACUGUUCCAUCUUUGGUGUACUCAUCAUCCCCUCUCGUCUUGCCAUUCUCUUCGACUACUCUUUCCAUUGUCAUUGUCAUCUCCCUGUGUUUGAUCUGAACACAGUUCAACGUGCAGCUCGAGUUUAUACUAGACAACCUCUGUCUACCUGCAUAUACAGUUAGCUACAAAUGAAAUGGUGGAUAAUAAUUAAAUCACUAACAGACUAAGACUGAAGUCAGUUUUUAUAUCUGAAAUUCAACCCUUUUCUUAUCUAAAAUAUUCAUGCUGGUAAAAGAACAAAUACAAGUGUCCAAGUAAAUGAAUAUAGACGCCACUUCUUAGUUUUUUCUAGUAAUAUACAAAUGCAGCUGCUAAUAUUUUAGUUAGCAUCAAAAUGUUCAAGUAUGAAGAAUAUCUGGGGCAAGACGGCUACCAACGUUAAUUUGCCGACUGAUCCCCGCAUAAGUGACAAAUAUUCAUGUCUAUAUAGGUAACAAUUUGAAAGCUUAGUAGCCGACCUCAUCAUAGGAUCAGUAAGUACAUCGCUCACUUGUCUUCUUCUUCUUCUCUCUUUUCUUUUUGCCGACUUGUUAAUGGAACUUAUCAGUUAUUAGUACAUCGCUCACUUAUUUAUCUUUUUUCGCUAAGCAGCUCAAUACUUAUUGAACUUCUAUUUAUCUUUUUUCGCUAAGCAGCUCAAUAUUUAUUGAACCUCUAUUCUGCUUCCUCUCCGUUCACUCAUUAAGCCUUAAAGUCAUUUGUGAAACAACUACCACCGAUAAGCUAAUACUCCCUCCAUCCCAAUUCUUUUGUCCUGUUUGAUGUUUUGUGGACAAAUUGACUCAAUUUUGACUGAAAUUGACAUAUAUUAAAUAAUUGAAAAAAAUUAUAAAAAAUAUAUUAUUAGAAUCUACAUUUAUUCUACUUUAAGAUGUAUUUUUCAAUUACUAGAAAUCAUAUAAGGAUAAUUAUUCAUUAACGAUCAAAGUUGGGUCAAUUUGACCACAAAAAAUCAAACAAGACAAAAGAAGUUGGUAGGACGGAUUUUGUAGAGUUUGUUUUUGUCAUUAUAGUGUUACCACCCGUAUUUUCUUACAAUUUUGUAAAUGACAGGUUUUUGAAUUAAAUCUUGUAUUAGUAUGAAUUUGAUUAAUAAUAUUAAUAUGAACUCUUUAUUUAUUUGAAUUCUAAAACAUGACAAAUUUUUAUAAACUUGUUUUAUAAAUUAAAUUGUUUGAGUUUUAAAAACUAAAAACAAAUUAACAAUUCUAUUGAAGGUACAAGUGUGACAUUACAUAAAAGUUCUAAUAAAAUAAUUGUACUUCUUAAAUAAAAUAUAUAUAAGUUUCGUCAUUCAAUAUUUGGAACGGGGAAAGCAAAGGUGGUACCAUUAUUCAUCGGUGCUAGUGAAAAGGGCCGCACUCCUGCAGUAUCUUUGGAUCAUAAAGGAUGCUCUUCAGAAGUCCACAUCUCAUUAUCACUGAUUUAACAAAUUCAAAUAUUUCAGGUGAAGCAAUAAAAAUGAAGACAGAGAUAAGUUAGUACUAACAGAGAGUGAUAAGUUUACCAUCUGAUAAUCGGAAUAUGUUGAAUCUUGAACCAUUCUGGCCCACUCUCUUUCCUGUAUCUUUCUUUCAGAAUUGGACACUCACUUAUGCGUAGAAAUCGGAGGCAAUGAGAUUCAUCAAACAGAGACACUCUCUCCAAAUCCUUACAAUUCUGAAUAGAUAAGUCCGCAAGAGAUGGAAGCUUCGCUAUUGACAGGACAAGAUCUUUCAUACCUCCGAAAUCACAUAUAAAUAACUCGGUCAACGCAGGGAAGGUGGAGAGCUGAAGCUGCUCAAAGAGCGCUAUUGACUUUACCAUUUCCGUCCCUCGCAGAGACAGCCAAACUAGGUUAGGGAAUGAAUGUAAUGAAGAAGAGAAUGGCCAUGGAAAUUCAUCCGAGAAGGGACCUAGGCGUAAAAAUCUAAGUGUGGAACUCUGAAUUUGGGUGGAGAUUCCAUCUAGAACAGAGGAGGGGAGCCCGAUUAAGUAGAGAGAUUUUAGACCAGCUGAUCCUUCAACUGAAUUAAUACUUACUAGAUUCGGGCAAUCAUAUACAGACAAGCUGUCAAGAGAGACACCAAGGGUGAGAUGCUGUAAACCCUUGCAGUCACGUAGGUCUAAUGAGGUCAAAGUCAGAUAAUUAUUUUUUAAUAGCACUUUGAGUAUUGAUUCCAAGUUUGAACAAGAAGAAGAUGAUGAUGAAUCCCCUACUCCGUCUCUGAUAUCAUCCAGUUCUAAAGAGGUGAGUGAGCUAAGAUGCAUAUACAUAGUUUCCAGUAUCAUGUUGCUCUCCGAAUUUCUAAUACUCAAUUCUCUCAAGGACGGAAAACAGCUAUUCAGGUUUCUCAGUCUUGGACAAUCUAAGAUUUGCAACUUCUCAAGUUUAGGAAAUACAAUUUGGUCUUUACCCCCUUUACUCAAAACGUCUUCCACCCAUUCUUCUAGCUUUGGCAAUCUCCCCAAAAUGAGUUUUGUCACUGACGGAUACAUUGCUGUUGUGACUGCUUUUUGGGCCGGACUUAGGCCUCCACAUAAAUCAUUUCCGAUAACCUUGACAUUUUCCAUCUUGUCUAUAUAUAUCUCUCUCAGUUUAGGGAGGUGCCCCAGCGGUGGAAAUCCUUCGCACCUGCUGCAAUCUGUCACGGAGAUUGUCACCAUAUUGGUCAUCAUUGGGAUCCAUGACGCAAAUUUCUUUCCCAUAAAGUCUUUAAUUUUCAAUGCUUUCAGAUUUGGGUGAGGUUCCAAUCCUUCCAACACACCCUCAUCAUUGUAUUCUCCUUCUUCCCUUUCAUCUUCAUUGUUCCUCCAAUUCAACAGUAAAUGUCGAAGAUUGGACUUUUCACAAAGCAAUGCCUUGCGUGCUUCUUCAAUAUUCUCCACCUCACUAAGGCCAUAGAGUUCAAGUGUACCUCUAAGAUUUUUUAACAUUCCUAGCUGUCCAACAAGACAGUUUUGAUUUUUCUUCACAACGAAAUAAGGCAGCGUUUGCAAACAAGUUAACCUCUCAAUCCCAACAAACAUGUAUCUUUUUUGAGAAUAGUCAAUAACAAGAUGUCUCAAGUUUAUAAGUUGGCAGAUGUUUUCCGGAAGCUCAUGAUCCCAUGAAAUUCUUAGAGUCUGCAAGUUGUAGAGUCUUGUAAGGUGAUUCGGCAGUUUAGAGCUAGUAUCGAAAUCUGCCAUCUCAGAGAUAUCUAAAUGCUUAAGGUGUUUCAAAUUCCCAAUUAAACCAGGCAGCUCAUUACGAAAUGAAUUUAUAACCAAAACUCUUAAGUACUUGAGUUUGGGGAGCACACAGAUAAAUAUAGUGGCCUCUACAUAUAGUGCUUGUACUGUAUCAAACCGUAGCUUAAACAUACUUUGUUUUACAUCUUUGAAUCCUUCAAGCCUUACAUAUGUAGCCUUUGAUCCUGUGUGAACAUCAUGACUUGGAUUUACAGUGGUAGAAUAAUUACUUGACACCUCUAGUGCAAGAUCAUGCACAAGAUCAUGCAUCUUGCAGUUGGUAAUAUAUCCGUAUUUAUCCUCUUCCACAUCUUGUAACAAAGAAUUUCCCAACAGAAUUUCAAAGUACUCGUUUCCAAUGUCUUCCAUCAAAACAGUACUAUCCCCCGGAAGGAAUCCUAAUGCCAUCCAUAUUUGUAUCAAUUUAUCUUUAUAAAUGUCAUGAUCCUUUGGCAUAAUGGAACAAUAUGCAAAACAUCGCUUCAAAGACGAGUAGGGUAGAUUGUCAUACGACAGCCUCAAGGAAGACAGUACACCUUUUGAUUUCCAUAUUUCACUAUUUUGGAUUCGCAACCACUCUUCUUCACUCUUCUUUGAGUACAAUAAACUCCCCAGUGUUUUAAUUGCCAGAGGCAGACCACCACAUCUUUCUACCAUUGUUUUACCCAAGGCCACAAAUGCCUCAGUCUCUAAAACUCCUCCAUUUAAAAAUGCUCUUUGCUUAAACAAUUCCCAACUAUCUUCCUCUGUCAGUUUUUUCACCAGAUAAGGAUCAGAACACUGCAUAGCUUCAGUCACUUCUUGCUUACGAGUGGUAACAAAAAUUUUGCUGCCUCUCGCACCCCCAACUCCAAGCAAAGAAUUCCUCAACUUGUCCCACGCUUCUGGUUUCUCAUUCCACACAUCAUCUAGCACAAGUAAAAACCUUUCGCCCUUCAGCUUUUCUUGAAGAUUUUUAAUCAGACCUUCCGCAUUAUCCAACACAGAAGGGCUGGAAGUGAGUGACACUACCAUUUGAUUCAAAAUCAUCAUGAAAUCAAAAUCAUCUGAUACAGUGACCCACAUCCUCUUGGGAAACAUCUUGAUCACAGCAUCUCUAUUGUAAACCAUGCGAGCAAGAGUUGUUUUUCCUUGACCCCCCAUCCCGAGUAUUGCAUUCACCUGUAUCCCCUCAUCAUUUGGGUUGCACAACAUGUUAACUAGAAAUGAUAUAUCAUCAUCUCUUCCGACAAUCAGUGACUCGUCUUCAAAGGGCUGGGUGUAGCGUAUCUCUCUGUGUUGCACAGUAGAUCUCAAAUGUUCAACUGGCUUAAGUCCAAUAUCAGUUGCCCAUUUACAGAUCUUGUCAAAGGAAGUAUUCAUAUACUUGAUCUUACGAGCCACUCUGAAACGAUAUAAUAAGGUGUUUUUAGAAGGAACAAAGAAGUCUCUUACCUUAUGACGAUUCUCCACUUUUCUUCGUGCAACUUCAUACUCAAGUCCAUCCAUAAAAGCAUCAGCUACCUGAGCCACCUCUUCAAGUUUGUUGAACCAAAUUUUGGCAGUACACAUGAUUAAAUUCUGGGUUUGAGCAUCGUGCAAGAGAGCACCGAUUAAUUCAAAUCUCUCACGCAGCGUCUCCAAAUCUUCGUGAAGUUUCCAGACCUGAAUCACUUGAUUAGUUGCGAGUGAAACUAGCUUUCGGACCAGUCCAGCAGCAAGAUCUCCUACAAUUGCAUCAGCCAUUGUUCUAAAUCUUUCUGGUUUCUUUAGAAUGUUAUCUUUAGCGAGGUGUGUUUGUGGUGAUAGUUGUAAGCACAAUUGGUUGAGAUAUAUUGAAGUCUUCGUCAACUUUAUGAUGCCAAAGGACAAUUGGUGAUGGUUGUAAGGACAAUUGGUUCACAUGGAUGGGGUCAUCUUAUUGAUUGUUCGCUGAGUCUAAUUUAAUUUUUUUGCAGAAUUACAGAUUUACUGGCAUAGUAAAUAUGAUUUCCUCUAAAAUACUCUUUCCAUUUCAAAUUAGAUGUUCACUCUCAAAAAAUCACACAGGUUAAGAAAACUAAAUGUUCACAAAUUAAAUUGCAUUAAGUAAUUAUAAUAUUUGAAAUGAGAUUGAUAUAAAAAAUAUAAAUAAAAUAUAUGUGAAGUAGAAUUGACUUUAGAAAUAUGAUUUUGCGUUGAAAGUUGAAGUGCUGCCUCGAAAAUGGACAUGUAAAUUGAAACGGAAAGAGUAUUUGAUUUGCUCCCUUUACUUGAGAAGAUGUCCUCCUUGUCCUUGUGUAUGCUUUUACAUGCCCUUUUGAAUAUCAGGCAUCGUGUUCUUCGAAAAAACAUUCAAGUGUUAUUUUGAAAAGAAAGAAGGGCAGGAAUUUUGCUGGAACACUUUUUCUUCAGAAAGUGACAUGUAGGGAUGGAGGGAGUAUCACAAACAAUAUUGGAUUUGAAUUUCAUUUGUAAUCCUAGACAUUCAAAUAGUAGUGUAAAUUUGAGAAUUUGAAAUAACAACUCAAAUCAUGUCAUUUGAAAUCCAACAUUUCAAAUGAAAUACAUGUUUUCAAACGCGAUCAAAAGCUUAUACAGGGAGAGACUGGAGCCUCAAGCAACAAGUAACAUAGAGAAGUGAAAAUUAUCCCAGAUUCACUAGCAAAGCUUCAAUCUCUCUGGACGUUAUUUGUCGGAUGUUGUGGGAAGUCGGACAGUUUGUCUUGACAAAUUAGAACGCAAUCUAUGCGCCAAAUAAAGCCCAAUCUCCGAGAGAUGAGAGUUGGAAGAGGUGUGAGGCAAAAUAGUUCAGAUUUUAACACAUUUUGGAUAGAGACCGUGGGUUUAUUCAAAAUCUAAGGACUGAAAGCCUCCUGAAAUUUCUGUAUAAGAUGAUAAACUACCUUUUUGCUGCAUAGAUAUAUGGUUUGUCGAAUCAGGAAUGGAACGGUGACAGUAAAAUUUUCACUAAACAGUCGCCUAAAAAACUUUUAAGGUAAACAUCAUAAGAACAUGUCAUUACAUUCCUUCUGAACCAUUCUUACAGAUAAUAAGAGAACGUAUGUUAAAGUACUUUUACAGAUUAUUUUUAGAAUAUGUUUAGUGCUGAACUUUUCUCUGCCACUCCCUGGACUACAACUCCAUCUUAGUUUAACAAAGAAAUCUAACAGAGGGGGAGAGCUUUCAGUGCUUCCAAAUCAAUUCAUGCCCGAUCUGUAUGCGAGGAAUAUGUUGUAUCUUGAACCAUUCGGGCCCACUCUCCCUCCUGCAUCUUUCUUCUAGAAUAGUACAUUGAAAUAUUUUCAGGUAUUGUAGGCUAUGUGACUCAUGAAACGUAGGCAAACUCUUCAAAUUAUUACAAUUCCAAAUACGUAACCGCUCAAGAGAUGGAAGGUUUGCCAGUGAUUCUGGAAGAGCUUCACUCCUUCGAAAUCAUUUAUGUACAACAGAGUCAAUGCAGGGAACAUAGAGGAGAGACGAUCAUCGAGCUCCCCAUUCAGAAGUAUUGACCUUACCUUCUUCCAACCGUACAGGGUCAGUGAGGUCAGUUUAGGAAACAAAAUUACAGAUGAGAAGGAGGGCCAGGGAAAUUCGUUUAGUUCAUCCGAGAAGGGACCUAAUAUCAUCUUUUCAAGUCUUGACCUUGUACUAGGGACAGAUACUAAUUCUGAAAGAGAGGGGCAUCUCACAAUAAUAAGAUAUUUUAGGGCACCUUCAACUACAUUAAUGCUAGUUAGAUUAAGGCAAUCACUCACUUCUAGUUCCUCAAGAACUAUACCAAUGGUCAGAAAUUUCAAGCCCGGGCAGUUAUCUAGGUUCAAAGUUUUCGAAGACAAAGAAUUGGUUUCCAAGAGCUCGUCAAUUAGAUAGUACACAUUUGAUGGAGAGCCUCCAUUUCUGUCCCUGAUACUCCUCAGCCGUAGAUUCACUAGAGAGCUAAUCUUCCUGCUCAUUGUUUCUAGGAUCUUGCUACUGUCCAGAUUUGUGAUAACCAACUCCCUAAGUUUAGAAAAUAAAAACAGGGUAUUUGGAAUCAUUCUCAACUUUGAACAACGCUCAAUUUUCAGUACCUCAAGUUUUGGAAAUACUGGCACCAUAUUUUGGUCUUCAUUGCCAGUGGAGAUAUUUGGUCUUCAUCGCCAGUGGAAACGAGUGUUGUUAAUGAUGGAUACAUCGUUGCAACUGUUUUUACAGACCCCCUGUAACUCAAACCACUACUAGUGCUAGCUAGACCUCCACAGAAAUCUCUCCCGAUAACUUUGAGAUUGUGCAUUCCAAAUAUUACAAUCUCCCUCAGUUUAGGAAGGUGACUCAAUGGUGGCAAUGCAUCACAAUUGUUACAAUCUUUCAAUGUGAUUUUCACCAAGUUCAUCAUCAUUGUAAUCCAUGAUGCAAAUUUCCGUCCCUUAAAGGAGACAACUGACAGUUCUUUCAAAUAUGUGUGAGGUCUUAAUCCUUCAAUCACAUCCUCGUUGUUGUAUUCUUUACCUUUCCUUUCAUCUUCGUUGUUGCUCCAGUCUAAGGGUAAACACUGAAUGUUAGAUUUUUCACAAAGCUUUGCUUUACUUGUUUCUUCCAUAUUUGACACAUCACUAAGACCAUAGAGAUCAAGUGUACCACCAAGAUUUUUAAGCCCUUCCGAUUGGCUAAGGAGACAAUUUCGUUUUCUACUGACAACAAAAUGAGGAAGUGUUUGAAGACAAGUCAAUCUUUGUAUCCCAAUAAACAUGUAUCUUGUGGAUAACUCUUCUGCAUAUUUCUUCUGAACAACAAGAUGCCUCAAGUUAAUAAGGUUGCAGACCUUCUCUGGAAGCUCAUUUAGAGCCCAAAUUCUCAAAGUUUGCAAGUUAUAGAGUUUCGUGAUGUAAUUUGGCAAUUUAUAGCUCUUGAAUCCGACAGAACUUGAGAUAUCAAGAUGUUUAAGGAAUUUCAUAUUCCCCAUUGAACUUGGCAACUCUUUAUAAUGUGAGUUCAAAACCAACACUCUCAGUUGCUUUAGGCUGGGUAACACGACACCGAGUACACAAGCCUGUGCAUACAGUGCUUGUAUAGAAUUGAAGUACACCGUAGAAAUCUUGUCAAAGGAUUUAUGAAUAGUCUUGAUCUUAUUAGCCACCUUAAAACGAUUUAAUAUGUUGUUUUUAGAAGGAACAAAGAAGUCCCUUACCCUGUGAUGAUUUUCCACCUUUUGUCGAAUAAUUUCAUAAGCAAGUUGAUCCAUAAAAACAUCAGCCACAUGUGCCACAGCUUUGAGUUUGCUGAACCAGGUUUGGACAGAAGACAUAUCUAGUUUCUUGGUAUAAGUAUCGGACAGGAGAGCAUCGAUAGAUUCCAGCCUUUCGCGCAGUGUCAACAGAUCUUCAGAAAGAUUCCAGGCCUGAAUAACUUUUUCAGUAGCAAGUGAAAUAAGCUUGCGAACCAGUCCGCUGGCUAGAUCAGCUACAAAUGCAUCAGCCAUCCUUCUAUCAAUUUCAGUUACCUGAUUAUAUCAUGAAUAUUUACAUGUAAAAAGAUUAGUAUUUGGGUAGUAAUGGUGUCUUCUUCAACUUUGGGCUAUCAAAAGUCAGAUGUAAUAUUAUUAUUGAAUUCUUUAUGCCCUCUUUGUCACAACUUUGAGCUACCAAGUGGUGAGUUGAAUAGAAAUUUAUCAAGUGGGGAAAGCUGAGGGCAAAGAAAGCCAAUCCAGCUAAAAGUCAAUAGCCUCCUAGAAGAUGGCAUCUUUACUCUUUACAUGCCAGGUGAGAAUCUUGAUCGACUAAAUCUAUAUUUAUAUUCAUUUAUUUUAUCGAAUUUAGAUUAGAUUAAUACUGGAUUUUUUACGGGCCGAUCCGAAUCCGUUGGAGACGGAGAUCUCGAACUCCACUCUGUAUGAUUUAUUUUAUUUUAAAGAAAAUUGAGUAGUUAUAAAAUUAUAAAAGACCAUUUAUCGUUUACAAUUGAACAAAACUUAAACCAAAAAUAUUUAAAAAGAAAAAUAAUAAAUGUAAAUUGAUGGUCAAUAUAGAUUCGAGAAUAUAAAUGAAAAAAAGCAUGAAAAUUGAGAAUGUAAAAUCUCUGAUGAGACUAUUUUGGAGCAAGUCUAUUGUCCUAAUAUAAAAAAAUGCUUGAUACCCAGACGACAGAAAACUUAGUUUCUCUUAUUUUUAUCUGUCGAAAAAGUACUUACUACAUUAUUACAUCUUUGAAGAAAGCAUUUGUAUCAGAAGUAUCCUUGACAUUUUCCAACUCUAUUGUAGCAUCAUCUUGUUCUUUGUUGUAAACAAAAAGGUUUGCAGCCAGAAGAAAAAACAAGAGGUUAAUAAAGCUCAAAACAGCAUAAAAUGUGUAGAAAUAGUCCAAGCGAGACACAUUCAAGUUGUCCAAAAAAUCCAGCCCUUGUGACCAUCCCUCUUAGUGAAAUCAGACACAGUUGUUAGAAUAAAACUGCUUAGAAAAUUCCCCAUACUCAAGCUAGUUGUAUAAUAGGCUGUGCCGAAGCUUUUCAUACUUUUCGGAGCUUGAUCAUAGAAGAAUUCAAGUCUCCCCACCUCCCAAAAUGUAUCAGCCACCCCCAUCAGGGCAUAUUGAGGAAGUAAUAUGAAUAUGCUGAGCGGAACAAUUUGAUUUUUCUUUGUAAUGCCAUGAUCUUCAAUCACAUUUAAUCGCUUCCGUUCACAAACUGAAGCAAUGAUCAUGAUGAUGACAUGCAUUACUAGGCCUAUUCCCAUUCUUUGCAGCAUUGGGAUCCCUCUUGGAUUUUUGGUGUAGCUUCGAAGCGUGGGAACCAGGAAUUUAUCAUAGAUCACAACAGUGAUCAGCAUAAAGAUUGUUAUGAAUGCUACAAGAGAUGCCGGGGGAAUACUGAAAUGAGGACCUAUGCUUCUAACAAGAGUGGUACCUUGCUUGAUGAAGAGUGUGUGUCCUUGAGCUAUCAGGGUGCUAGGUAAGAAUGAUACUAAUAAGAUUGGCACCAUUUUUACCAUUUGUUUUGUUUCUUCAACUUCAGUCACUGUGCACAGCAUCCAGUGAGGGCUCCGUCCAUCCACAACAGCUGCUUUAUCUAGUAUUCUGUGUAAAAGCAAAUGAUAGCUAAAACUUAAAAGUCGUACUUAGUGCACAAGACUCCGGUGUCAAAAGUAAAAAAGGAAACAGAGGACUAUAAACCUCUUCUUUGAUGAAUAAGAAAUACGACCUUAGUAAAGGAGAGUGUUCAAUUCUAUACUUUCCAGGUUUGGAAUAUUCAUCCAAAUUCAACUCAUGUAGUUCUUUUGGAUCAUCCGGGACAACCAACUUCCAUUUUCUAAUAGUGGCUAUAAGAACUCUAGCCAUCUUGGUCAAUGGGCUUCCAGAUGCAGGUUGGUGCCUAUAAUAAGGUGAGCCUGCUAGAAACACCAAUAUUGAUAAAAAGAGUCCGAUUGUUGGAAGACCAUAUCCAAGUCCCCAGCCUGCAUGAUCUUGUAUAUAGACUAGGAAAGUGCUGGCAAAAAGUGUGCCGAAGAAGAUACUAAAGACCCACCAAUUAAAGAAUGAUAUCUUCUGGGUUUUUUCGGUUGGCUCAAAUUCAUCAAAUUGAUCUGCACCCAUCGUUGAGAUGUUGGGCUUUGUCCCUCCAGUUCCGAGUGCAAUUAUGUACAAUGCACAGUAGAAAAUACCCACUUGAAAAGGUGAAGCUUGCUUGUUACAGUCCACGUCUGUUAUACUGUCACCGCAUGAUGGUGGCCGGAGAGAUUUUAAUGAAACUACUAGUGUCAGCAAGGACAUGCCCUGUUACACAACAAAUAUUUGAGCCCAGGCAAAGCAAUCAAAACGUAUACGUGAAACUUGCAAGCAAUUUUAUGUUUUCAUACCCCAAGAUAGAUGAAGGCUGAAAUGAUGAAAGUCCAGUAACGGCCAAGAUGAGCAUCCGCGAUGUAGGCACCUAGAAUGGGUGUCAGCCAGACAGUGCCAACCCAGUUGGUGACAUUGUUUGAAGACUUCACGGUGCCUUCAUGUAAUUUUCUUGUGAGAUAUAGCACUAGAUUUGUUGAUAUUCCAUAAAAUGCCAUCCUCUCAAAUGCUUCAUACCCUUCAAAAUCAUUCAUUAUACGAAAUAAAUUAGAAUAUCAAGCUGAAACUAUGUUCUUCACCUUAAUACAAAAUAGUACAUGAGUUGAAUGUGGUAAAUGUUCUAUUGGAUGAUAUCAGAAUUAUCAAAAGAAGCAAUAGAAUCUUGUUGACAUACCGACAAUGAAGGAGGUUGCUCUCCAUCUCCCUGUGUUUGAUCUUAACACAGGAUUACCCUUGAGGUCAACUGUUCCAUCUUUGGUGUACUCAUCAUCCCCUCUCGUCUUGCCAUUCUCUUCGACUACUCUUUCCAUUGUCAUUGUCAUCUCCCUGUGUUUGAUCUGAACACAGUUGAACGUGCAGCUCGAGUUUAUACUAGACAACCUCUGUCUACCUGCAUAUACAGUUAGCUACAAAUGAAAUGGUGGAUAAUAAUUGAAUCAUUAACAGUCUAACACUGAAGUCAGUUUUUAUAUCUGAAAUUCAACCCUUUUCUUAUCUAAAAUAUUCAUGCUGGUAAAAGAACAAAUACAAGUGUCCAGUAUCUGGGAGAGCUUUCAGUGCUUCCAAAUCAAUUCAUGCCCGAUCUGCAUGCGAGGAAUAUGUUGUAUCUUAAACCAUUCUGGCCCACUCUCCCUCCUGCAUCUUUCUUCUAGAAUAGUACAUUGAAAUAUUUUCAGGUACUGAAGGCUAUGUGACUCGUGAAACGUAGGCAAACUCUUCAAAUUAUUACAAUUCCAAAUACGUAACCGCUCAAGAGAUGGAAGCUUUGCCAGUGAUUCUGGAAGAGAUUUCACUCCUUCGAAAUCAUUUAUGUACAACAGAGUCAAUGCAGGGAACGUAGAGUAGAGACGAUCAUCAAGCUCCCCAUCCAGAAGUAUUGACCUAACCUUCUUCCGACCGAACAGGGUCAGUGAGGUCAGUUUAGGAAACCAAAUUACAGAAGAGAAGGAGGGCCAUGGAAAUUCGUUUAGUUCAUCCGAGAAGGGACCUAAUAUCAUCUUUUCAAGUCUUGACCUUGUACCAGGGACAAAUACUAAUUCUGAAAGAGAGGGGCAUCUCACAAUAAUAAGAUACUAGUAUGUUUGCCUGCUCCGGGCAUUCUAAAUUAAUAUUUUUUUAAAAAAUAUGUUUGCUUAAAUUUGUAUUUGAUUAGAAUUGAGAUUUUUUGUUUGUGGAUGAAAAUUAUUUUAUAUUUGUUUUUUCUAUUUCUUGUUUAAAUCUAAAUUAAAUUCUAAGCUGAAAAAUAUCUGAUAAUAGAGAUAAUCUCGUUCUUUCAAUUUUUGGUACGAUAUGUUUGUCCCAAAUAUAUAUAACUAUAAAUUUAAUUUAUUGAACUUAAAUAUUACAGAAAAUAGUAUAGACAUUUGUAUUGUAUUUUAAAAUUAGUAAUGCAAGACCCAAAUAUUAGUUGUUUUUCAUUAUAAAAUAAAAAAUGAGUUGUUUUAAAAAUUUGAAACUAGCCAUCAAUAUCUAUGCCAAAAAUCACAAUGAAUUCUCUCCGAAAAAUCAUAGCCUACACAAUGAAUUCGAAGUCUCAGACAUGUUAAGGCGUUAUGGUUGGAUUGUGCCAGCUUACACCAUGCCUCCUGAUGCCCAACAUGUUACUGUGCUUCGUGUAGUUAUCCGCGAGGACUUUUCAAAAACUCUGACUGAACGCCUGGUUACAAAUAUCAAGCAGGUCCUCGAGGAGCUUGACACACUCCCAAGUAAGGUGACACAGAAGUUGACAACUGAGGUGGACAACGGCAAGGCUGUGAAGAAAAGCUGAAGUCCCAUUCCAGUUCCAGGUAAAGAAAUGGGGCAAUGAACCCACCGCUAGCAGCGUGCACAUGAAUUGGUGUAUCCCAUCUAUCAAAAGAAAUGAAAUAGAUAAAAGAUGGUCCUAUAAUCCAGCAACUCAUCAAAUGAUAUGUAUUAAUGAGCAAGACAGUGGAUUACCCAGUUUCUGCAUUUUUCUUAACCAAGAGGUCAUUUAAGAGCUAACAUCUUCAAAUUCUCCAUUAAGAGUGGAUCCUAGAAUAGCUGCAACACAAAUGGUGUUCUCAUCCACCAUUUCUGCAGCCUUUUCAGGGUCCAUCACAUAGUAGCUGUCUCUCAACUUGACCUCCUUCAGCUCCACUUCAAAUUACCUUGCAAAAAUGGUGGAUUAAUUUCUUGUUUAAUACAUGGAUCUAGUCAAUCUGGAUUAUUGACAUACAUUGAACCCGGUCCAUUUGAAUGAUUAUAAACCAAAAAAAAAGUAAAUCAACUUGAUGAAGUCUAAAUGAGGCAAACCUAAAUGUACUCCAAUGAAACCAGAUCAUGCAUUGAGUGAAAAUUGAUGGAACACGUGAAAUUAAUUCAUGUUAAUCAGAAGAAGUAAAACAUAAUCUAGGACUUUAUAUAAAAAGCUAUAGAAAUUAAGAUCAAUAGGCUUGUUCUGUAAGAUCUCAUAAGAUCCUCUACAUUUUCCCCAUUUCAAAAGAUUAUAAUUCAUUUGAUUGCUUAUUAUUUCCGACACUAAAACACCAAAGCUACUUUCACCAGGCUAGAUAGAAAAUUUGAAACUUUGCAUACCGAUAGAGUCAUUUACGUAAAUUCAACAUGUUUAAUGUGUUGAAGAAUUCCAAGCCUGAAAGAACACAACACGAUCAAAUGUGAUUAUUCUUUAAGCAUUAAUAUCUAAGUAGACCUUAAAAUCCCAAACUUUGCCGUAUCAAUAUCCUAUAUCAGGGGCAGAGCCACUUGGAUCCCUGGUACUCCAUGGCUACCCUGUAUCAAGGGCGGAGCUACAUGGAGCCGUAUAUAGAGUUUCUAUGUUAUUUGUUUUGGUAAAAUUAGUUAGUUGAUCUUUGAGAAGCAAAAAAGAUGAGAGUUGCAACUGUAUCAAAAAAGCAGAUGAAAGAUUGAUUAUUAAUAUAGGAAUAUAUAUUUUGUUCAGUACAGAUCUCAUGAUUGUACGACUGAAAGGAAAAGACACGGGCAACUUAAUUCAUGAAUUAAAGGUAUAUGCAUUCAUUAUGUUAAAAAUACUUCCUUUGAUUGUCUGUGCCAUUUUUUACUAUCAAAUAGAGCAGUUUUCAUGUUAUAACAGUUUCAACAGAAGUUUUUACCUGCACAAUAGCUGGUGAAGACACGUUACCUUCCUUUAUCGCCGCUAAUUUUAGCAACUCUCCGCACAUAUUAUGAGGACCAUCAGAUCUGUCUAUGCAACUGUAAAAAUGUAUUAUAGAAUAAUCAGAAUAUGUGUGAUCCGUAGGGCCAGUGGUUCCAUUAAAAAUCUAUAGUCAUAGUAGAUGCUACCUGCAGCCUGCAAAUUUGAGGGCCAGUGGCCCCUUCUCACUCUGACAUGUACCACAUCCUUCAGUUUCUCUUCAUCCUUAUCACUGCUUUUCGAACUUUUACCCCUUCCACAGCUCUGUUUACAGUAAAUCAAAGAUAAGACCAAAAAUUCAAUUCAUUCAUAAACAGAGCAAUUAAGCUAGUAACAAUUUUUCAUAACUAAUGCAAGAUUCUACACUUAAUUUACGAUACAUUUUUUCACCUGCUUCCGCUUUCAGAAGCCUGAGGAGUUGAGUUAUCAGAACAGCUUUCAGAUUCUUGCAUGACAUUUUUAUGAUCUUCCGAAAAAUGUGGAAAAUUAUCUGCCAAGUUACCAGGGAAUUCAAGCACUUAUGUAAUGAAAUUGUCGAAAGGAAAGCCUGCCCAGCUAGUAAAAUUAGAGUUUGAGGUGUGCAUGACACUUGGAUUUAAUUGCAUGAGCUGAUUCAUGAUGAGGUCAACAUUUGGAUCAAACUCAAGCAAAGAAAAGUGGUGAGUUAAAGGUCUGCAUAUCUGAUGUGUAUUGAUACUUAAAUUCACGUAAUGCAUGACAUGUUUAACAAUUAUUAAAUUUUUAGUCACAAACGCUGGUGACGUUCUUUGAUUUUCAUCAACACUUUAAUCGACCAAUAAUAUUAAUAUUAAAGGGCUGUUUGGGCAAACUUAAAAAAAAUAAAAUUUGCUUAAGAUAAAGAAGCGGAUUAGAAUUGAAAAGUAAAUAAGUUAAUAAAGUGUUUGGAAAAGAAGCAGAAGCUGAUAAGCUAACAUCCUCAGCUUUUUAAAGGUGCUUCUACUUAUUUACACAAACGGGUCAAGAAAAACAGAAGCCAUAAGGAGUUUCUGGUUCUUGAUUACAAACAUGCCCUAAGACUGCCACAUAACAUUCAAGCUCAACUUUUGUCCCAGCUUCUGUGAUCAUUUCAUUUUCUACCGGUUUCAACUCCCGUCUGAAUAUACCAUUAAGAAAGAUAUUACGAGACUAUUUGACCGACUUUAAAAUUGUAACUACUGACUUCUGAUUUUAAAUUAAUAGUACUUCUAGAGUACAUAGUGCAUCUUGUUCCUCAUGGAGCAUUUCAGACUCCUUUGAAAUCAUAAAUGCACUAUGUACUCUAGAAGUACUUCAUCACUGAUAUUAGACAGGUGCCUAUUGUUUAUACAUUAGAGAACUAACCUUUCUGCUUAUUGUUUCCAGUACUGUGUUGCUGUCAUAUAACUCCUCAAGAACCGAAAACAUUUUUCCAGAAUCUUUGCAACUUCGGACAUCUGCUGAUUUUUAACAACUCAAGUCUCUGAAAUGCACUUUGAUCUUUACCCUAGGUACUCAUAACUGGUUAUACCCAUACUUAAAGCGUUGGCAAAUCAAAAUACAUUUCGAUGAGCACGACACAAUUGGCUUCAAAAAUCUUCCUCCCUGAUGCAAGAAGUACAUCCAAUAUAUAAUCAAAUAUGGUAGAGACCCUAAAAGAUUUCUAAAGUUAAAAUGGAUCAACUUUUUAUAGUUCUGUAUCAAUUUGGACCCAGAGCCCCAAUUAAAAUUUGCACACUGGUAAUUUUGAACCAUUUUGGGAAAAGAAAACCUUCAGCAUUGCUCUUUAUAUAAGAAGCAAAUCAUCAAUUAUUAUAUUAAUCGAAAAAGAAUACCAGUGUAUACGUGGAAUAUGUUGAAUUCUGAACCAUUCUGGCCGUCCCUUCAUAUAUUUUUCUCUCAGAAGAGGACACCCUUCCGUCUCUAGCAACUGAAGAGGAUGCGAUUUUUCAAACAGGGGCAAAGUCUUCAAAUUCUCACAAUCAAAUAUAAGUAACGUCUCGAGAGAUGGAAGCUUUGCUAUUGAAUCUGAGAGAGCUUUCACUCCUUUGAAAUUAUUUAUUCUCAAUUCAGUUAAUGCAGGGAAGGUGGAGGAGAGGCGAUUAUCAAGUUGCCCGAAUAUUGAUUCAACCUUUUUCCACCCGUCCAAUGAUAGUUUCUUUAGACUAUGAAAUGAAACCACGCAAGAAGAAGAGAAUGGCCAUGGAAAUUCAUCUAAAUCCUCUGAGAAAGGGCCUAAGCUUAGUCUAUCAAGUGUGGAACUCCUAGUUUGCGCAAAUACCCGCUCUAAGAGAGAGGAGGGGCAUUUCCAGAUCUCAAUAUCUUUUAGACCAACUGACCCUUCAACUAGAUUAAUAUUACUUGGCCGAGGACAUUUUAAACCCCCACAGUCGAUUAGCCUCAAAGAGGUCAGACACAGAGAAUUGUUCUUUAACAUCUCCUCAAUCAUAAAGUCCAUAUUUGAACAAGAAGAGGAAGAAGAUGAUGAUGAAUCUCCUCCAUUGCUGAUAUUGAGAAGUUCUAGAUGCUUGAGAGAGGCUAUGUUACUCCGACUCUUCUAUUUAGGUUGCCGUACCCGUGUCGGACACUUGGACACUCGGACACGACACUUAUUUCGUGUCGGAUCCUUUGACUAAAAUGUGGACACUUUGACCAAUUUAAAAAUCAAAUAUGAGUAAAACUUACAAUUGAAAAGAAAUAUGUGAGAAAAAAGAAAGAAGCAAAAAUGAGAUUUAAGUACAAAAGACGCUUAAUUUGCAAAAUCCCUUACAAAUUCAUGUCUAAUAUGAGUUUUAUUGUUACUUUUUGUUAAGAUGUCUAACUUACCAUACUUGUUUAUUAGUAUAUUACGAUGUGUCCCCGUACCCGUGUCCAAAAAUAGGACAGUGUCCCCGUGUCUCCAAUUUCCAUAGUUCUGAAGUCCGACACUCGAAUAUGUGUCGUGUCCGACACUCCGUACCCGAGUCCGAGUAACAUAGGAGAGAGGUAACCUUUUUGCUCAUUGUUUCCACUAUCACGCUGCUGUCCAAAUCAGUGAUUUUGAGCUCCUUCAAGGCCGGAAAACAAAUAUUUGGAAUCUUGCUUAACCUUGGACAAUACAUAAUUUCCAAACUCUCAAGUUUAGGAAAUACACUUUGGUCAUGACUCCCUGUGCUCAUCACUUCUUCUGUCCAUUCUUCUAGCUUUUCCAGCCUAUACAAAGUGAUAGUCAUGAGCGACGGAUACAUAGUUGUCACUGUCUUCGUGGCUGCACUGUCUAGACUUUCCAAUAAAUAAUUCCCCAUAACCUUCAAAUUUUCCAUCCCCUGUAAAUUUAUCUUCUUUAGCUUGGGAAGCUGACCCAGUGAUGGAAAUUCUGUGCAUCUGUUGCAACCAACCAACAAGAUUUUCACCAAGUUGUUCAUCAUUGUGAUCCAAGAUGAAAACUUCUUUCCCAUAUAGCAGUAAAUAAUCAAUUCUUUAAGAUUCGGGUGAGGUUCCAAUCCUUUCAUCACACCAUCAUCUUUGUUUUCCCCGUCUUCCCGGAAAGCACCAAUAUUUUUGUUCCAAUUUAAAACUAAAACCUCAAUAUUAGACUUUUCACGAAGCUUUGCCCUGCUUGCUUCUUCCAUAUUUGCCACGUCGCCAAGGCCAUGGAGUUGAAGCUCACCUCUAAGGUUUUUUAGUCCUCCCAAAUGUUCAACAAGACAAUUUUGAUCUUUAUUCACAACAAAAUAAGGCAGUGUUUGCAAAUGACUUAGUCUCUCUAUCCCGACAAAUACGUAUCUUGACCUGUGAUUGGGAAUUACAAGAUGUCGCAAGUUUAUAAGGUUACAGACCUUUUCUGGAAGUUCAUGGUAGUAUGAAAUUCUCAAAGUCUGCAAGCUGAAAAGUCUCGUGAUGUAAUAUGGCAAUGUAACAGUAGUUUUUUGUCCCCGAGCAUUUGAAAUAUCGAGAUGCUUAAGGCAUUUUAAAUUUGUUACUGAACUAGGAAACUCCUCACAAAAUGAAUUCAAAACCAAAACUCUCAAGUGUUUGAGGUUCGGUAACAGGACAUUAAAAAUAUCGGCCUCUGCACUAUUAAAAAUAUCGGCCUCUGCAUAUAGUGCUUGUACCGCAUCUAAGUGCGCCUCCUGAAAAAUAUUUUGUUUUACAUCUUCAAACCCUUCCAGCCUUACCUGUGUAGCUUUUCUGACCUUGUUGAAAUCCUGACUUGGCUUCACUAUAGCGGAAAUAUUACUUGACACAUCUAGUGCAAGAUCAUGUACAAGAUCAUGCAUCUUGCAUUUGGUAAUGUUUCCAUAUUCAUCUCUUUCCACAUCCUGUAACAAAGAAUUCGACAAGAGAAUGUCAAAGUACUCGUUUCCGAUGACCUCCAUCAAAACAUUACUAUCUUCCAAAAGGAAUCCUAAUGCCAUCCAUACUUGUAUCAGUUCAUCCUUAUAUAUGUCAGAAUCCUUUGGCAUAAUAGAGCAAUAUGCAAAACAUCGCUUCAAAGAUGAAUUAGGUAAAUUAUCAUAUGAUAAUCUCAAGGAAGGGAGUACACUUGUCGAUUUCCAUAGUUCACUAUUUUGAAUGUGCAACCACUGCUGUUCAGUCUUCUUUGAGUACAAUAAACUUCCUAGUGUUUUUACUGCUAGAGGCAGACCGCUACAUCUUUCUACCAUUCUUUUCCCCAAGGCCACAAAUGCCUCGGUCUGCAACGCUCCUCCAUCUGAAAAUGCUCUUUGCUUGAACAAUUCCCAACUAUCUUCCUCGGAUAGUUUUGCCACCUUAUAAGGAUCAGAGCAUCGCAUAGCAUCAAGGACUUCCUGCUUACGAGUGGUAAUUAAAAUAUUGCUACCUCUUGCACCGCCAACUCCAAGCAAAGAAUUUCUCAACUUCUCCCACUCCUCUGGUUUCCCAUCCCAUACAUCAUCUAGUACAAGUAAAAACUUUUCGCCCUUUAGGUUUUUCUGAAGAUCUUUGAUCAACCCUUCCGCAUUUUCCAAUGCAGAAGCCUUUGAAGUGAGAGAUACUACCAUUUGAUUCAGAAUCUUGAUGAAAUCAAAAUUAUCUGAUACAGUGACCCACAUCCUUUUAGGGAACAUAUUAAUUACAACAUCUUUAUUGUAAACCAUUCGAGCAAGAGUUGUCUUGCCUAGACCUCACAUCCCUAGUAUUGCAUUCACCGGUAAACCCUCACCAUUUUUGUUGCACAACAUAUUAACCAAAGAUGAUAUAUCUUUGUCCCUUCCGACAAUUAGGGACUCGUCUUCAAAAGGUGGGGUGUUGCGUAUCUCUCUACGUUGCACAGUAGAUCUUAAGUGCUCUACUGGAUGAAGACCAAUAUCAGUAGCCCAUUUACAAAUCUUGUCAAAGGAAGCAUUAAUAUUCUUGAUCUUAUGAGCCACUUUGGAACGAUAUAAUAAGGUGUUUUUAGAAGGAACAAAGCCUUAUGACGAUUCUCCACUUUUCUUCGGGUAACUUCAUACUCGAGUUCAUCCAUAAAAGAGCAACUUGUUCAAGCUUGUUAAACCACAGUUGGGCAGUAGACAUGUUUAAAUUCUGGGUAUGAGCCUCAUUCAAGAGAGCACCAAUUAGCUCAAACCUUUCACGCAGUGUAUCCAGAUCUUCAUGAAACUUCCAAGCCUGAAUCAACUCAUUGGUUGCCAGUGAAACAAGCUUGCGAACCAGUCCAGCAGCAAGAUCAGCUCCAGUUGCUUCAGCCAUUUUUUCUAGUCAGCUUCUUUAGUGUAUUAUUUCAGGAUUUUGAAAAUGGGGUACAAGUUUUUAAUAAAAAUUCGCAACAAAUGAAAUUUAAUCUAUUGACAAAUCACACUUAUACCUUUUUCCUGUUAGUUUUCACUGACCCAAAUCGAUGUUUAAAAUUGUGCAAUGUGUUGAAAUACAGAUAUAUGAACAAAUUCAAACCAAAAAAUUAAAAAAUUAAAAAUAAAAAUGGAGUAAGAUUGAUGGUCAAUAGAGAUUCGAAAAUAUGGAUGAAAAAGAAGCAUGAAAAUUGAGAAAGUAAAAUAUUGGUGACACUAUUUUGGAACAAGUUUCCGCCUAAUAUAGAAAAUGCUUGAUAACCAAACCACAGACACAGCUUAGUUUUCUAACUCUAUUAUAGCAUCUUUUUCUUCAUUGUUGUAAAGAAAAAAGUUUGCAGUCAGCAGAAAGAACAAGAGAUUAAUGAAAAGCUCAAAACAGCAUAAAAUGCAUAGAAAUAGUCCAACCGAGACCCAUUCAAGUUGUCCAAAAUCCAGCCAUUAUGUGGGACGAUAGGACAACAAAGUGCGUACUCAUUAUUCAUCGGUGCUAGCGAAAAAGGGCCACACUUGUGCAAUAUCUUUAGAUCAUAAAGUAUCCCCGUGCCAAGUCCACAUCUCACCAUCCCUGAUUUAAAAAAAAUUAAGAAAUUUCAGUGAAGCAUUAAAAAUGGAGACAGAAAUAAGUAGUAGUACUGAAACAUAGAGUGAUAAGUUUACCAUAUGACAUGUGCAAUAUGUUGAAUCUUGAACCAUUCUGGCCCGCUCUCUUUUCUACAUCUUUCUUUCAGAAUUGGACACCCUCUUAUCUCUAGAUAUCGGAGGCAAUGAGAUUCAUCAAACAGAGACACUCUCUCCAAAUCCUUACAAUUCUCAAUAGAUAAGUCCUUAAGAGAUGGAAGCUUUGCUAUUGACAGGACAAGAGUCUUCAUACCUCCGAAAUUAUGUAUAACUAAUUGAGUCAAGGCAGGGAAGGUGGAGAACUGAAGCUGCUCAAAGAGCGCUAUUGACUUUACAUUUUCCAACCCUCGCAGAAAAAGCACAACUAGGUUAGGGAAUGAAUCUAAUGAAGAAGGGAAUGGCCACGGAAAUUCAUCCCAGAAGGGACCUAACCGUAAGUGUGUAAGUGUGGAACUCUGAAUUUGGGCGGAUAUUCCAUCUACAAGAGAGGAGGGGACCCUCACUAGUGCGAGAUGUUUUAGACCAGCUGAUCCUUCAACUAUAUUAACACUUGCUAGAUUCGGGCAGUCAAAGAGUAGUAAUGAGGUCAAAGACAGAGAAUUAUUUUUUAAUAGCACUUUGAGUAUUGAUUCCAAGUUGGAGCAAGAAGAAGAUGAUGAUAAAUGCCCUCCUCCGUCGCUGAUUUUCCGCAGGUGUAAAGUGGUGAGUGAGCUAAGAUGCAUAUACAUAGUUUCCAGUAUCAUGUUGCUCUCCGAAUUUGUGAUACUCAAAUCUUUCAAGGACGGAAAACAGCUAUUCAGGAUCUUUCUCAACCUUGGACAAUCUGAGAUUUCCAACUUCUCAAGUUUAGGAAAUACAGUUUGGUCUUUACUGAAAAUGUCUUCCACCCAUUCUUCUAGCUUUGGCAAUUUCCGCAAAAUCAGUUUUGUCACUGACGGAUACAUUGCUGCUGUGUCUGGUUUUUGGGCCAGAUUUAGGCCUCCACAUAAAUUAUUUCCUAUAACCUUGACAUUUUCCAUCUUCUCUAUACAUAUCUUUCUCAGUUUAGGAAGGUGACCCAGUGGAGGAAAUCCUUCGCACCUGCUGCAAUCUGUCAUGGCGAUUUUCACCAUGUUGGUCAUCAUUGGGAUCCAUGACGCAAAUUUCUUUCCCAUAAAGUCUUCAAUUUCCAAUGCUUUGAGAUUUGGGUGGGGUUCCAAUCCUUCCAACACACCCUCAUCAGUGUAUUCUCCGUCUUCCCUUUCAUCUUCAUUGCUCCUCCAGUUCAACAGUAAAUGUCGAAUAUUGGACUUUUCACAAAGCUUUGCUUUACGUGCUUCUUCAAUAUUCUCCACCUCAUUAAGGCCAUAGAGUUUAAGCGUACCUCUAAGAUUUUUUAACAUUCCAAGUUGUCCAACGAGACAGUUUUGAUUUUUCUUCACAACAAAAUAAGGCAGCGUUUGCAAACAAGUUAACCUUUCAAUCCCAACAAACAUGUAUCUUGUUUUAGUAUUGCCAAUAACAAGAUGUCUCAAGUUUACAAGUUGGCAGAUGUUUUCCGGAAGCUCAUGAAGCGAUGAAAUUCUAAGAGUCUGUAAGUUGUAGAGCCUUGUAACUUGGUUUGGCAGUUUAUAGCUGAUAUUUGAAUAUGCAAUCCUAGAGACAUCUAAAUGCUUAAGGCAUUUCAAAUUCCCAAUUAAACCAGGCAGCUCCUCACAAAAUGAAUUUAAAACCAAAACUCUCAAGUACUUGAGUUUGGGUAGCACACAGUAAAAUAUAGUGGCCUCUGCAUAUAGUGCUUGUAUUGUAUCAAAGCGUAGCUUAAACAUACUUGGUUUUACAUCUUUGAAUCCUUCCAGCCUUAAAUAUGUAGCCUUUGAUCCCUUGUUAACAUCAUGACUUGGAUUUGCAGUAAUAGAAUAAUUACUUGACACCUCAAGUGCAAGAUCAUGCACAAGAUCAUGCAUCUUGCAGUUGGUAAUAUAUCCAUAUUUAUCCUUUUCCACAUCUUGUAACAAAGAAUUCCCCAACAGAAUGUCAAAGUACUCAUUUCCAGUGUCUUCCAUCAAGACAGUGCCAUCCCCCGGAAGGAAUCCUAAUGCCAUCCAUAUUUGUAUCAAUUUAUCUUUAUAAAUAUAAUGAUCCUUUGGCAUAAUGGAACAAUAUGCAAAACAUCGCUUCAAAGAAGAGCAAGGUAGAUUGUCAUAUGACAGCCUUAAGGAAGACAGUACACCUCUUGAUUUCCAUAUUUCACUGUUUUGGAUUAGCAACCACUCUUCUUCAGUCUUCUUUGAGUACAAUAAACUCCCUAGUGUUUUAAUUGCGAGAGGAAGACCGCCACAUCUUUCUACCAUUGUUUUACCCAAGGCAAUAAAUGCCUCUGUGUCUAAAACUCCUCUNCAAGGCAGGGAAGGUGGAGAACUGAAGCUGCUCAAAGAGCGCUAUUGACUUUACAUUUUCCAACCCUCGCAGAAAAAGCACAACUAGGUUAGGGAAUGAAUCUAAUGAAGAAGGGAAUGGCCACGGAAAUUCAUCCCAGAAGGGACCUAACCGUAAGUGUGUAAGUGUGGAACUCUGAAUUUGGGCGGAUAUUCCAUCUACAAGAGAGGAGGGGACCCUCACUAGUGCGAGAUGUUUUAGACCAGCUGAUCCUUCAACUAUAUUAACACUUGCUAGAUUCGGGCAGUCAAAGAGUAGUAAUGAGGUCAAAGACAGAGAAUUAUUUUUUAAUAGCACUUUGAGUAUUGAUUCCAAGUUGGAGCAAGAAGAAGAUGAUGAUAAAUGCCCUCCUCCGUCGCUGAUUUUCCGCAGGUGUAAAGUGGUGAGUGAGCUAAGAUGCAUAUACAUAGUUUCCAGUAUCAUGUUGCUCUCCGAAUUUGUGAUACUCAAAUCUUUCAAGGACGGAAAACAGCUAUUCAGGAUCUUUCUCAACCUUGGACAAUCUGAGAUUUCCAACUUCUCAAGUUUAGGAAAUACAGUUUGGUCUUUACUGAAAAUGUCUUCCACCCAUUCUUCUAGCUUUGGCAAUUUCCGCAAAAUCAGUUUUGUCACUGACGGAUACAUUGCUGCUGUGUCUGGUUUUUGGGCCAGAUUUAGGCCUCCACAUAAAUUAUUUCCUAUAACCUUGACAUUUUCCAUCUUCUCUAUACAUAUCUUUCUCAGUUUAGGAAGGUGACCCAGUGGAGGAAAUCCUUCGCACCUGCUGCAAUCUGUCAUGGCGAUUUUCACCAUGUUGGUCAUCAUUGGGAUCCAUGACGCAAAUUUCUUUCCCAUAAAGUCUUCAAUUUCCAAUGCUUUGAGAUUUGGGUGGGGUUCCAAUCCUUCCAACACACCCUCAUCAGUGUAUUCUCCGUCUUCCCUUUCAUCUUCAUUGCUCCUCCAGUUCAACAGUAAAUGUCGAAUAUUGGACUUUUCACAAAGCUUUGCUUUACGUGCUUCUUCAAUAUUCUCCACCUCAUUAAGGCCAUAGAGUUUAAGCGUACCUCUAAGAUUUUUUAACAUUCCAAGUUGUCCAACGAGACAGUUUUGAUUUUUCUUCACAACAAAAUAAGGCAGCGUUUGCAAACAAGUUAACCUUUCAAUCCCAACAAACAUGUAUCUUGUUUUAGUAUUGCCAAUAACAAGAUGUCUCAAGUUUACAAGUUGGCAGAUGUUUUCCGGAAGCUCAUGAAGCGAUGAAAUUCUAAGAGUCUGUAAGUUGUAGAGCCUUGUAACUUGGUUUGGCAGUUUAUAGCUGAUAUUUGAAUAUGCAAUCCUAGAGACAUCUAAAUGCUUAAGGCAUUUCAAAUUCCCAAUUAAACCAGGCAGCUCCUCACAAAAUGAAUUUAAAACCAAAACUCUCAAGUACUUGAGUUUGGGUAGCACACAGUAAAAUAUAGUGGCCUCUGCAUAUAGUGCUUGUAUUGUAUCAAAGCGUAGCUUAAACAUACUUGGUUUUACAUCUUUGAAUCCUUCCAGCCUUAAAUAUGUAGCCUUUGAUCCCUUGUUAACAUCAUGACUUGGAUUUGCAGUAAUAGAAUAAUUACUUGACACCUCAAGUGCAAGAUCAUGCACAAGAUCAUGCAUCUUGCAGUUGGUAAUAUAUCCAUAUUUAUCCUUUUCCACAUCUUGUAACAAAGAAUUCCCCAACAGAAUGUCAAAGUACUCAUUUCCAGUGUCUUCCAUCAAGACAGUGCCAUCCCCCGGAAGGAAUCCUAAUGCCAUCCAUAUUUGUAUCAAUUUAUCUUUAUAAAUAUAAUGAUCCUUUGGCAUAAUGGAACAAUAUGCAAAACAUCGCUUCAAAGAAGAGCAAGGUAGAUUGUCAUAUGACAGCCUUAAGGAAGACAGUACACCUCUUGAUUUCCAUAUUUCACUGUUUUGGAUUAGCAACCACUCUUCUUCAGUCUUCUUUGAGUACAAUAAACUCCCUAGUGUUUUAAUUGCGAGAGGAAGACCGCCACAUCUUUCUACCAUUGUUUUACCCAAGGCAAUAAAUGCCUCUGUGUCUAAAACUCCUCUAUUCAAAAAUGCUCUUUGCUUAAACAAUUCCCAACUAUCUUCCUCUGUUAGUUUUUUCACCAGAUAAGGAUCAGAACACUGCGUAGCAUCAACCACUUCCUGCUUCCGAGUGGUGACAAAAAUUUUGCUGCCUCUCGCACCCCCAACUCCAAGCAAAGAAUUCCUCAACUUGUCCCACUCUUCUGGAUUCUCAUUCCAAACAUCAUCUAGCACAAGUAAAAACUUUUCGCCCUUCAGCUUUUUUUGAAGAUUUUUGAUCAGACCUUCUGGAUUAUCCAACACAGAAGGGCUUGAAGUGAGUGACACCACCAUUUGAUUUAAAAUCUUAAUGAAAUCAAAAUCAUCUGAUACAGUGACCCACAUCCUCUUGGGAAACAUGUUGAUCACAGCAUCUCUAUUGUAAACUAUGCGGGCAAGAGUUGUUUUGCCUUGACCACCCAUCCCGAGUAUUGCAUUCACCUGUAAACCCUCAUCAUUUUGGUUGCACAACAUGUUAACUAGAAAUGAUAUAUCAUCAUCUCUUCCGACAAUCAGCGACUCGUCUUCAAAGGGUUGGGUGUAGCGUAUCUCUCUGUGUUGUACAGUAGAUCUCAAAUGCUCUACUGGCUUAAGUCCAAUAACAGUAGCCCAUUUACAGAUCUUGUCAAAGGAAGUAUUAAUAUUCUUGAUCUUAUGAGCCACUUUGAAACGAUAUAAUAAGGAGUUUUUAGAAGGAGUGAAGAAGUCUUUUACCCUGUGACGAUUCUCAACUUUUCUUCGAGAAACUUCAUACUCGAGUUCAUCCAUAAAAGCUUCAGCCACCUGAGCCACUUCUUCAAGUUUGUUGAACCAAAUUUUGGCACUAGACAUGAUUAAAUUCUUGUUUUGAGCGUCAUGCAAGAGAGCACCGAACGAUUCAAAUCUCUGACGCAGUGUCUUCAAAUCUUCGUCAAGUUUCCAGAUCUGAAUCACUUCAUCAGUUGCAAGUGAAAUUAGCUUUCGGACCAGUCCAGCAGAAAGAUCAUCUACAAUUGCUUCAGCCAUUGCUCUCAAUCUUUCUUGUUUCUUCAGCGAGAUGUGCAAGUGGUGAUGGUUGUAAGGACAAUUGCUUGAGAUGGUUGUAAGAUCAUCUUAUUGAUUGCUCCGUCCGGUUUAUAUAUUUGCAGAAUUGCAGAUUUACGGGCAUUGUAAAAGCAGCCCGCCGUUUUCCGGGGUUAUAAAUAAAAAACGUACGCUUUGCCUAAAGUGUUUUAAAUUUCGAUUUUAUAAAUGAUAAUAUGACAAGUUCAAAUUUAAUUCCCGAUUUUAUAAGUGACACAAGUUGAAACUUAAUUUUGUUUGUGACUUAUUUUAUUUUAGAAAAUUUGAUUUUACAAAUAUAUAAAUAAUCAUUCUAAAAUAUAAUUUAUCAGAUUUUAUUAUUAUAUCAAUAAUUUUAUACUCGAUAAGUUGUUGAAUCAAAAUAUUUAUAAAAAAUAAAUAACUUAAAAGUUAUUUUGCACUUAUAUAAAUGAUAUACCUUAAUAAGUAACUAGCUUUAUAGCCCGUGCGUGGCACGGGCAUGCUCUAAACAUUUCUAUAUUUAAGUUUAUGCGGUGUUUUUGUAUGUUUUGAAAAUGUAAUGCAUAAACAGGCAAGAAAACAUCUAUCAAAGUGGAUUAAAAAAGAUCACCACAAACCAGUUACAUGGAUGAUGCCUCCGAAAGAAAAUAAGCGAAGAACUGAUGAUAUUAUAUAUGUAACACCCCAGUCCCACAUCGAGAAGAGUGAGAAUAUUUGUUCAGUUUAUAAGCAUAAAUAUUACUACUAAUUGCACCAACAAAUCAUGAUCUUUUGUGGGCCUGUGGUGGGCUUGUAAAUUACCCAAGUUGUUGUAGUUGGGCCAGUUUAUUUCGGCUUAUUUUCGGAUUCAGAUUCGGAUUUCGGGACUUGACCUGAUUUUUGAAAAAAACUCGGGAUUUGACCCGGUUGUCACAUAUGGUAUUAGAGCGAGGUUCUCGAAAGCUUGAUUCGUCAAGUUGCCGGAGGUGGGGACACAAAGGCUGGUGGUAUUAUCCUGCAAUGGACAGAGAUCCGAAGGCGGGGACACGAAACCAGCCAGUAUUAUCCCACAAUGGCUAGAGAGGUUCGAUCUGGGCCUAUGGGCUAUCCGUUUCGGCCUGACGAGGACGUCAGGAAUUUAAGUGGGGGAGUUUGUUACACCCCAGUCCCACAUCGAGAAGAGUGGGAAUAUUUGUUCAGUUUAUAAACAUAAGUAUAACUACUAAUUGCACCAACAAAUCAUGAUCUUUUGUGGGCCUGUGGUGGGCUUGUGAAUUACCCAAGUUGUUGCAGUUGAGCUAGUUUAUUUCGGCUUAUUUUCGGAUACGGAUUUCGGGACUUGACCAGAUUUUCGAAAAAGACUCGGGAUUUGACCCGGUUGUCACAAUAUACUAUACUAUGAAAUAAAUUUAUUGACAAUUAAACUCCAGCUACACUAAAUCAAAUCAGCAUGAUCAGAACCCUUAACAUUGAUGCAUAUGAAAAUUCAUGGAACAGCAACCCAUUAUUGUAAUUAUGUGUGCAUAGUCUUUUUGACAAAAUAACUUGUUUAAUCUAUUAAUACAUAUGAUAACUACUUUAUAUAAAUUCUUUACUAAUCAUAACAUAUAACUACAGUUGCUUAACUACAUCAUAUCAAUUCUUUACUAACCAUAAAAUAUAACUCGAAAUGCCUUUAACUAUUAUAUAUUGGUUCAUUCUUUGGUUUCAGUGCAUUAACUUAAUGAAUUAGAUAAAUUCUUUAGUAAUCAUAACAUAUCACUUUUUGCCUAACUACAUUAGAUCAAUUGUUUACUAAUCAUAAAUAUAAUUCGAGUUGACUUAAUCGUAACUAAAUCAAAUUAGCAUGAUUAGAACUUUUAACAUUCAUGCAUGAAACCCUUAACAUUCAUGCAUAUGCAAAUUCAUAAAACAAUUAGUCAUUAUUGUAAUAUUAUGUGUGCAUAGUCUUUUUGACAAGAUACAGUAACUUAAUCUAUUAAAGAAUACGAUAACUACAUUAGAUAAAUUCUUUACUAAUCAUAACACAUAACUCGAGUUGUUUAACUCAUUAGAUCAAUUCUUUAUAAAUCAUAACAUAUAACUCGAGUUGUCUUUAACUACAGUAUAUUGGUUCACUCUUUGUUCUGAGUGCAUUAGUUUGAUGAAUUAUAUAAAUCUAAUUAAUCAUAACAUAUAACUCGAGUUGCCUAAAAUCAAUUCUUUACUAAUCAUAACCUACAACUUGAGUUGCCUCACCGUAUAUUGGUUCACUCUUUGCUUUGAGUGCACUAACUUGGUGAAUUCCUCGCAAAGAAUAUUUUUAUUUUGAAUAUGUAGUUAUUCGUAAUUAAUAAUGUAUAAUGAUUGAUGAAAUGAAUGAUAUUUUUGAGUAUUUUACAAAUAUUCUAAAGACACAUUCAUUCAAAAGUAUUAUUUUAUAAUAAUGUAUUAGAUAUUAUUAUUAUUAAAUAUUAUUCAUGUAUUUAUUAGUAAUUAUCAAUGUAUAAUAAUUGAUAAAAUGAUCUAAUGAUAACUGAAUUACUAUUGUUAGUAUUUGUUAGAUAUUAUUAAGGAGGAUAUAAUAAUUAGAUAUAAUUAAUAACAUAUAUUAAAUAUGUUGUUAUUAGUAGUUAAUCAUGUAUAAUGAUUGAUGAGAUGAUCUGAUAAUAAUUAAAUUACUCUCUCUGUUUUUUUUAUUCGACGCUUUAACUUUGAGCACACACUUUUAUGUUCUUUGACCAGAUAGUUAGAAAUAUUAUUUUUUUAAAUUUUCUUUCUCUGAAUAAAAAUAUAUAACUAAAACUUUUAUUCACCAAAAAAAUAAAUUAAAAAUAAUAACUUUUACUAUCCGGUCAACUCGUCUAAAGAAGUGUGCCUAAAGUCAACACGUCAAAUAGAAAAACCAGAGGGAUCAUUAGUAUUUGCUACAUACUCCCCCCGUCCCCCCCGACGGUAUAUACAUUGAGGGACGCGGCCGAACUUUAAUGCUCCUGCAAAGUGUAGUUGUGUAAAUUUUUUUUAUAAAUUUUCUUUUUCUGAAUUAAAAUUUGGAAUAUAAUUAAUAACAUAUAUUAAAUAUGUAGUAUAGCAGUUAAUAAUGUAUAAUGAUUGAUGAGAUGAUCUAAUGAUAAAAAAAUUACUCCCUCUGUUUUUUUAUUUGACGCUUUGACUUUGGGCACACUUUUAAGUGCUUUGACCCGGUAGUUAGAAAUAUUUUUUUUAAGUUUCUUUCUUUGAAUAAAAAUAUAUAACUAAAACUUUUAGGGUCGCGCUCAAGAGAGAACCAGUCCUUAAAAUAGAACCAUAGAACCACUGAGGUUCUGCUGCGGAACCCUAAAUUUUAAAUAGAUUUUUAGUAUCUAAAUCCAAAUACAUAUUUUUUUCAUAUUUUUUCAUCGUUGUGUGUGUUCUGAAAUAAUUUUAAAAUACAAUACAUAGAUAUUGACAUUUUUUGCAUGUGAAGUUCGGCUGCAGAACCCUAACUAAUACUUAAGUUCUGCUCCAGAACCCUACCUAAUACUACAAAUAAGGUAAGGGUUCUAUGAGUUCUCUAUCUAAUGGUUCUCUCUUGAACAUGACCCAAAACUUUUAUUCACAAAAAAAUAACUUAAAAAUAAUAAUUUUCACUACCCGGUCAAUCAUCUAAAGAAAAGUAAAAAAAAACAAACAGAGUGAUUAUUAGUAUUUGCGAGAUACUCCAUCCGUCCCCCUAGAUAGUACACACUGAGGGACGCGGACGCGUAGUUGCGUAAUUUUAUUGAGGAAAAAAAUCCUAAAAAAUAAGUUACGAAACUAUAUUUAAUAAGAACAUUGAAAUGUGUGUCAAGCAGUUGAAAAUAAACGUAUAGAAUUAAAUGGGACACUGGGUGUAUUAAUUAAGACAUAGUAAUUAGAUAUAAUCAAUGACAGAUAUUAGAUAUGUAGUUAUUAGUAAUUAAUAAUGUGUAAUAAAUUAAAUGAAAUAAUUAUUAGUGUAGAUAUUAAUGAGGAUAUUAAUGAUUAAAUUGGCUCACCAAAACCCAUGUUGUAGUAUUAUAUAUAUAAUUAGCACUGUAGCCCGUGCGAGGCACGGGCAUGUUCUCAUAUGCGUGAUGAAUAUUGUUAUUCUUGUUAUUGUUCGACAGUGUCAAAAAUAAAGAGUUUAAAUUUUAGAUCCUUGUUAUUGCAGUGUAGUGUAAACAUAUCUUUUAUUAUUAGAGUGCGAUAAUUGUUAGUUGUCCUUAAAAUAAUGUAAGCAAAGUGUCACAAUGAUAUUCCUGCAUCAGUGAAGUAUAACGUUGAUAUUCAAUUGGUUGUAGUGUAUCUUCCUCAUUCACCUUCAUUAUAUUAUAAUUUUUUUAAAUUUUUUUUGACUAUUUCGACCAUAAUUCACCUAAGAAUUUAAUUAAACUUAUAAUAUAUUGUCUCACUAUCUGUGGAAUAUCACACUAAUACUCCUCGACACAUGAAGUAUCACCCUGAUAGGUAACUGGUUGUGACGUAUCAUCAUGAUAAUUCUCUUAUAAUAAAAAAUUUGUAGAUAUUUAGGGUCCUCCUUAGCAAAGUAACACCUUUAUAUUCAACUGGUUGUGGCAUAUCAUCCUGAUAAUACUCUGAUAUUAGAGUAUGUAGUGGGUAGUUAAGGCCCCUUCUAAUUGAAUAUUUAUAUUUUGAUUAAAUAUAGUUGAAAAUUGAUUAUUUCAACCGGAAAUUUGCCAAAAACUUUAACCAAGUUUAUAAAUAUGUUGCUCCACUCAUAGUGGGAAAUACACUGAUACUCCUCUACCUGUGGAGUAUCACCUGAUACUUAACAGGUUACGAUAUAUUAUCAUGUUAAUCCUCUUACAAUCAAAGCUUUUGUCGAUAUUUAGAACAUUCUUUACUGAAUAUACUUGUUUUGGUUAAAUAUUGUUGAGUCACGGGCAUGUUGGGUAUUUAGGGCCUGAACUUACUGAAUAUUCAUAUUUUGGUUAAAUAUUGUUGAAAAUUGGGUAGUUUGGCUGGGCAUUUACAGAAGAAUUAAAUUAAGGUUUUUUUAUAAAUAUAUAAGUUUCACUCCGAGUGGAAUAUCACACUGAUACUCCUCUAUCAUCGGAGUAUCAUCCCAAUACUCAAUUAAUUAGACGUAUCACCAUGAUAAUACUCUUACAGUCAAAUAUUUUGCGCAUAUUUAGGACUUCUUUACUUAAUAUUCAUAAUUUAGUUAAAUAUUGUUGAGACACGGUCACACGGGAAUGUUCUCAUACGCGUGAUGGAUGUUGAUAUCUUGACGUUGUCCAAGUGUUAGGUUUGAAUUCUUGUUAUUGCAAGGUGAUGCAUUAACCAUUAUUAUGAAUUAGAUAUAGUCGUCCUUAUAAUAAUGCGAGUAAGGCAUCACACUGAUAUUCUUUUAUAAGUGGAAUAUCAUAUUGAUAUUUGGCUCGCUGUCCGUAUCAACACGAUAAUACUCUUGCAAUCAAAUAUUUUGCGAAUAUUUAGGACUUCUCUACUAAUUAUUCAUAAUUUGGUUAAAUAUUGUUGAGACACGGUCACACGGGAAUGUUCUCAUGCGCGUGCAUGUUGUUAUCUUGAUGUUGUCCAAGUGUUAGGUUUGAGAUCUUGUUAUUGCAGGGUGAUGCAUUAACCACUAAUAUGAAUUAGAUAUAGUUGUCCUUAUAAUAAUGCGAGCAAGGUAUCACACUGAUAUUCUUUUUCAAGUGGAGUAUCAUCAUAUUGAUAUUUAACUGGCUGUCGUGUAUAUGCUGCAAAACUCCGAAUGAAAUAUCACAUGAUAUUCAAUUGAUUGUGACGUAUCCUCAUAAUAAUCUUUUUACGGUAAAAUAUUUUAAAGGUAUUUAGGGCCCACAAAUAAUUUUAAUAAGCAUUCAUCCAAGAACUUAAUUAACGUAUUAUUGUUAAAAAUUAUGCAAAAUUAGAUUUUUUAACUUUAAAUUAGUUAGUGUGAUACAUGCUUUGACGAUGUAAUUGAUUACCUACCCAUUAAUAAUUAACAUAUUAUUUACAAAUUUAAUUAUGAAUAAAUUAAUAUGUUAGAUAUAAUCACACAUAUUAAUUAUAAAUAUUAAUUUAAUGUAUUAAUAAAGAAGGUAAACACAUCAAUUACAUGUCUAAUAAUGAAUUUAUUAAAGUCUUAGAUAUAAUUACAUGUAUUAAUUACAAGUUAUUAAUUAUAUGUAUCAAUGGAAGAGAUAUUAGUUGCAAGUGUAUUAAUGAAAGAGAGGGUUAAAAGAGUAAUUUACAUGGUGAAUAAAAUGUGGCAUGUUGGUCUAUUAUAUAUAUAAAUAGAUAGAUAGAUAAGCAUUUUUUUUAAAAUUAAAUCAAACGGUCCAAAAAUUUGAUUUGUUCUUAAAUAGUUUGAUUUCCGCACUUCACUGUUUGAGAUAUCAACAACCAUUUUUCUCUCACUUUUUUGAGUAAACUAAAUAUUCAUUUAUUUUAUCGGAGACCGAUCGUAUACUGGAUUUUUUAUAGGUUAGGCUGAUCCGAAUCCGUUAGAGUUGUAAAGUUGUAGAGAUGUAAUCUGGCAAUUUAUAACUCUUGCAUCCGAGAGAAUUUGAGAUAUCGAGAUGUUUAAUGAACUUGACAACUCAUUACAAAAUGACUUAAGAACGAGCACUCUCAGGGUCGUUUGGUUGGAGAGGAGGUAUGAGGUUGGAAUGAGGAAUCGGGUUAUCAGGUGUUUGGUUGAGUGGUGGAAUGAAUAUGGUUGAAUUAUAAUAUUUAUGAGUUAUUAACUGUAAUUAAUUUAAAAUAUCAUGAAAUUAAUAUUUGUAUACAUUUUUAAGUCAUUAAUUUCAUUUUGUGUUAAAAAUUUACAAGAAAUAAUAUAAAUAAUAAUGAAAAUAAAAGAAAAAAAAUUGAUUCCUGAAACGCAUAUUUCAUACCCACCUCCCCCUUGUUAUGAAAUUCUCAUACCUUGUGGGUUUGAGGAAUGAGUUUGAUGAAAUAAAAUUCUCAACCAGAUAUGGGUUUGGAAUGAACAAAACUCAUACCUGAUAUCACGGAAGCCUGAACCAAACGACCCCUCAAGUGUUUGAGGUUGGGUAAGAGGACACUGAAAAUACUAGCCUGUGAGUAUAGUGAUUGUACUGUAUAAAAGUAGGCCUUGUAGAUAUUUGGUUUUAAAUCCUCAAACCCCUCCAGCCUUACAUGAAUUGCCUGAGAAAGCUGGUUAGAAUCCUGACUUGGUGUUACGGUUUGGGAGUGAUUAGUUGACACAUCUACAGCAAGAUCAUGCAUUUUGCAACAGGUGAUAUUGCCAUAUUCAUCCGUUUCCACGUCUUGUAACAAAGAAUUCGACAACAAAAUGUUGAAGUAUUCACUGCCUACGUCCUCCAUCAGCAAAUUGGUAUCUCCAGGAGACAAAAGGAAUCCUAAUGCCAUACAUAUAUGUACCAUUUCAUCUUUAUAUAUAAGAGAAUCCUUGGAAAGAACAGAAAAAUAUGCAAAACAUCUUUUCAAAGAUGAAUAUGGUAAAUUGUCAUAUGACAACCUCAAGGAUGAUAAUACCCCUUUUGAUUUCCAUACUUCACUGUUUAAGAUCAACAGCCACUCUUCCUCCGACUUCUUUGAGUACAAUAAACCCCCUAAUGUUUUUAUUGCCAGAGGCAGGCCGCCACACCUUUCCACCAUUCUUCUUCCCAAGUCUACAAAUUCCCUGGUCUCUAAAACUCCUCCAUGUGUAAAUGCUCUUUGCUUGAAUAGUGCCCAACUAUAUUCUUCUGAAAGUUUUUCGACCCUAUAACAAACAGAACAUUGCAUGGCAUCGAUGACUUCCUGGUUACGCGUGGUAACUAGAAUGCUGCUUCCUUUCGCACAACCAACCCCAAGCAAAGAAUUCAUCAAGCUAUCCCACUUAUCUGCUUUCUCAUUCCAUACAUCAUCCAGUACAAGUAAAACCUUUACCCCCUUUAGAUGUUUUUGAAGAUUUUUUUAUCACUGCUUCAGUGUUAUCCAACACUGAAGUGGUUGAAGUAAGCGAUCCUACCAUCUGAUUCAAAAUCUUCAUGAAAUCAAAAUCAUCUGAUAUAGUAACCCAUAUCCUUCUUGAAAAUAUAUUGAUCACAACGUCUUUAUUGUAGACCACACGAGCAAGAGUUGUCUUACCUUGACCCCCCAUCCCUGCUACAGCAACGACCAGUAAAUCCUCAUCAUGAAUUUUGGACAAGACAUGAACUAAAUUUGAUACAUCUUCAUCUCUUCCGACUACUUGUGUCUCGACUUCAAAGGGCGCAGUGUGACGGAUCUCUCUCACUUGUACAGUUGCACUCAAUUGUGCUAUGGGCUGCAGUCCAAGAUCUGCCGCCCAUUUAAAAAUCUUGUCAAAGGAUUUAUGAAUAGUCUUGAUCUUAUUAGCCGCAGAUCUUGUUAUUGCAGGGUGAUGCAUUAACCACUAAUAUGAAUUAGAUAUAGUUGUCCUUAUAAUAAUGCGAGCAAGGUAUCACACUGAUAUUCUUUUUCAAGUGGAGUAUCAUCAUAUUGAUAUUUAACUGGCUGUCGUGUAUAUGCUGCAAAACUCCGAAUGAAAUAUCACAUGAUAUUCAAUUGAUUGUGACGUAUCCUCAUAAUAAUCUUUUUACGGUAAAAUAUUUUAAAGGUAUUUAGGGCCCACAAAUAAUUUUAAUAAGCAUUCAUCCAAGAACUUAAUUAACGUAUUAUUGUUAAAAAUUAUGCAAAAUUAGAUUUUUUAACUUUAAAUUAGUUAGUGUGAUACAUGCUUUGACGAUGUAAUUGAUUACCUACCCAUUAAUAAUUAACAUAUUAUUUACAAAUUUAAUUAUGAAUAAAUUAAUAUGUUAGAUAUAAUCACACAUAUUAAUUAUAAAUAUUAAUUUAAUGUAUUAAUAAAGAAGGUAAACACAUCAAUUACAUGUCUAAUAAUGAAUUUAUUAAAGUCUUAGAUAUAAUUACAUGUAUUAAUUACAAGUUAUUAAUUAUAUGUAUCAAUGGAAGAGAUAUUAGUUGCAAGUGUAUUAAUGAAAGAGAGGGUUAAAAGAGUAAUUUACAUGGUGAAUAAAAUGUGGCAUGUUGGUCUAUUAUAUAUAUAAAUAGAUAGAUAGAUAAGCAUUUUUUUUAAAAUUAAAUCAAACGGUCCAAAAAUUUGAUUUGUUCUUAAAUAGUUUGAUUUCCGCACUUCACUGUUUGAGAUAUCAACAACCAUUUUUCUCUCACUUUUUUGAGUAAACUAAAUAUUCAUUUAUUUUAUCGGAGACCGAUCGUAUACUGGAUUUUUUAUAGGUUAGGCUGAUCCGAAUCCGUUAGAGUUGUAAAGUUGUAGAGAUGUAAUCUGGCAAUUUAUAACUCUUGCAUCCGAGAGAAUUUGAGAUAUCGAGAUGUUUAAUGAACUUGACAACUCAUUACAAAAUGACUUAAGAACGAGCACUCUCAGGGUCGUUUGGUUGGAGAGGAGGUAUGAGGUUGGAAUGAGGAAUCGGGUUAUCAGGUGUUUGGUUGAGUGGUGGAAUGAAUAUGGUUGAAUUAUAAUAUUUAUGAGUUAUUAACUGUAAUUAAUUUAAAAUAUCAUGAAAUUAAUAUUUGUAUACAUUUUUAAGUCAUUAAUUUCAUUUUGUGUUAAAAAUUUACAAGAAAUAAUAUAAAUAAUAAUGAAAAUAAAAGAAAAAAAAUUGAUUCCUGAAACGCAUAUUUCAUACCCACCUCCCCCUUGUUAUGAAAUUCUCAUACCUUGUGGGUUUGAGGAAUGAGUUUGAUGAAAUAAAAUUCUCAACCAGAUAUGGGUUUGGAAUGAACAAAACUCAUACCUGAUAUCACGGAAGCCUGAACCAAACGACCCCUCAAGUGUUUGAGGUUGGGUAAGAGGACACUGAAAAUACUAGCCUGUGAGUAUAGUGAUUGUACUGUAUAAAAGUAGGCCUUGUAGAUAUUUGGUUUUAAAUCCUCAAACCCCUCCAGCCUUACAUGAAUUGCCUGAGAAAGCUGGUUAGAAUCCUGACUUGGUGUUACGGUUUGGGAGUGAUUAGUUGACACAUCUACAGCAAGAUCAUGCAUUUUGCAACAGGUGAUAUUGCCAUAUUCAUCCGUUUCCACGUCUUGUAACAAAGAAUUCGACAACAAAAUGUUGAAGUAUUCACUGCCUACGUCCUCCAUCAGCAAAUUGGUAUCUCCAGGAGACAAAAGGAAUCCUAAUGCCAUACAUAUAUGUACCAUUUCAUCUUUAUAUAUAAGAGAAUCCUUGGAAAGAACAGAAAAAUAUGCAAAACAUCUUUUCAAAGAUGAAUAUGGUAAAUUGUCAUAUGACAACCUCAAGGAUGAUAAUACCCCUUUUGAUUUCCAUACUUCACUGUUUAAGAUCAACAGCCACUCUUCCUCCGACUUCUUUGAGUACAAUAAACCCCCUAAUGUUUUUAUUGCCAGAGGCAGGCCGCCACACCUUUCCACCAUUCUUCUUCCCAAGUCUACAAAUUCCCUGGUCUCUAAAACUCCUCCAUGUGUAAAUGCUCUUUGCUUGAAUAGUGCCCAACUAUAUUCUUCUGAAAGUUUUUCGACCCUAUAACAAACAGAACAUUGCAUGGCAUCGAUGACUUCCUGGUUACGCGUGGUAACUAGAAUGCUGCUUCCUUUCGCACAACCAACCCCAAGCAAAGAAUUCAUCAAGCUAUCCCACUUAUCUGCUUUCUCAUUCCAUACAUCAUCCAGUACAAGUAAAACCUUUACCCCCUUUAGAUGUUUUUGAAGAUUUUUUUAUCACUGCUUCAGUGUUAUCCAACACUGAAGUGGUUGAAGUAAGCGAUCCUACCAUCUGAUUCAAAAUCUUCAUGAAAUCAAAAUCAUCUGAUAUAGUAACCCAUAUCCUUCUUGAAAAUAUAUUGAUCACAACGUCUUUAUUGUAGACCACACGAGCAAGAGUUGUCUUACCUUGACCCCCCAUCCCUGCUACAGCAACGACCAGUAAAUCCUCAUCAUGAAUUUUGGACAAGACAUGAACUAAAUUUGAUACAUCUUCAUCUCUUCCGACUACUUGUGUCUCGACUUCAAAGGGCGCAGUGUGACGGAUCUCUCUCACUUGUACAGUUGCACUCAAUUGUGCUAUGGGCUGCAGUCCAAGAUCUGCCGCCCAUUUAAAAAUCUUGUCAAAGGAUUUAUGAAUAGUCUUGAUCUUAUUAGCCGCCUUAAAACGAUUUAAUAUGUUGUUUUUAGAAGGAACAAAGAAGUCCCUUACCCUGUGAUGACUUUCCACCUUUUGUCGAGUAACUUCAUAAGCAAGUUGAUCCAUAAAAACAUCAGCGACAUGUGCCACAGCUUUGAGUUUGCUGAACCAGGUUUGGACAGAAAACAUAUCUAGUUUCUUGGUACAAGUAUCGGACAGGAGAGCAAAGCUGAGAGAAAACCAUCCAGCUUUGUGGAUGGUGACUUGAAUAGAAAUUUAUCAAGUGAGUAAAGCUGAGGGGAAAAGAAAGCCAAUUCAGCUAAAAGUCAAUAGCCUCCUAGAAGAUGGCAUCUUUAUUUUUUACAUGUCAGGUGAACCCUGGUUGGGAUCAUGAUUGACUAAAUUUAUAUUUAAAUUCAUUUAUGUUAUCGAAUUCAAAUUAGAUUAAUACUGAUUACCGGCCGAUCCGAAUCGGUCGGAGACGGGGAUCUCGAACUCCACUCUGUAUGAUUUAUUUUAUUUUAAAGAAAAUUGAUUUGUUACAAAGUUAUAAAAGACCAUUUAUCAUUUACAAUUGAACAAAAUUUAAACCAAAAAAUAUUUAAAAAGAAAAAAAUAAAUGUAAAUCGACGGUCAAUAUUGAUUUUGGAGCAAGUCUAUCGUCCUAAUAUAAAAAAAUGCUUGAUACCGAGACGACAAAAAACUUUGUCUCUCUUAUUUUUAUCUUUGUCGAAAAAGUACUUACUACAUUAUUACAUCUUUGAAGAAAGCAUUUGUAUCAGAAGUAUUCUUGACAUUUUCCAAUUCUAUUGUAGCAUCAUCUUGUUCUUUGUUGUAAACAAAAAAGUUUGCAGCCAGAAGAAAAAACAAGAGGUUAAUAAAGCUCAAAACAGCAUAAAAUGCGUAGAAAUAGUCCAAGUGAGACACAUUCAAGUUGUCCAAAAUCCAGCCCUUGUGACCAUCCCUCUUAGUGAAAUCAGACACAACUGUUAGAAUAAAACUGCUUAGAAAAUUCCCAAUACUCAAGCUAGUUGUAUAAUAGGCUGUGCCGAAGCUUUUCAUACUUUUUGGAGCUUGAUCAUAGAAGAAUUCAAGUCUCCCCACUUCCCAAAAUGUGUCAGCAACCCCCAUCAGAGCAUACUGAGGAAGUAAUAUGAAAAUGCUGAGCGGAACAAUUUGAUUUUUCUUUGUAAUGCCAUGAUCUUUAAUGACGUUUAAUCGCUUCCUUUCACAAACUGAAGCAAUGAUCAUGAUGAUGACAUGCAUUACUAGGCCUAUUCCCAUUCUUUGCAGCAUUGGGAUCCCUCUUGGAUUUUUGGUGUAGCUUCGAAGUGUGGGAACCAGGAAUUUAUCAUAGAUCACAACAGUGAUCAACAUAAAGAUUGUUAUGAAUGCUACAAGAGAUGCCGGGGGAAUGCUGAAAUGAGGACCUAUGCUUCUAACAAGAGUGGUGCCUUGCUUGAUGAAGAGUGUAUGUCCUUGAGCUAUCAGUGUGCUAGGUAAGAAUGAUACUAAUAAGAUUGGCGCCAUUUUUACCAUUUGUUUUGUUUCUUCAACUUCAGUCACUGUGCAUUGCAUCCAAUGAGGGCUCAUUCCAUCCACAACAGCCGCUUUAUCUAGUAUUCUGUGUAGAAGAAAAUGAUAUGUAAAAGUCAUACUCAGUGCACAAGACACCCGUAUCAAUAAGUAAAAAUGGAAACAGAGGACCAUAAACCUCUUCUUGGAGGGAUAAGAAAUCAGACCUCAAUAAAGGAGAGUGCUCAAUUCUAUACUUUCCAGGUUUGGAAUAUUCAUCCAAAUUCAACUCAUGUAGUUCUUUUGGAUCAUCCGGGACAACCAACUUCCAUUUUCUAAUAGUGGCUAUAAGAACUCUAGCCAUCUUGGUCAAUGGGCUCCCAGAUGCAGGUUGGUGCCUAUAAUAAGGCGAGCCUGCUAGAAAGACCAAUAUUGAUAAAAAGAGUCCGAUUGUUGGAAGACCAUAUCCAAGUCCCCAGCCUGCAUGAUCUUGUAUGUAGACCAGGAAGGUGCUGGCAAAAAGUGUGCCAAAGAAGAUACUAAAGACCCACCAAUUAAAGAAUGAUAUCUUCUGGGUUUUCUCUGUUGGCUCAAAUUCAUCAAACUGAUCUGCACCCAUUGUUGAGAUGUUGGGCUUUGUCCCUCCAGUUCCGAGUGCAAUUAUGUACAAUGCACAGUAGAAAAUACCCACUUGAAAAGGUGAAGCUUGCUUGUUACAGUCCACGUCUGUUAUACUGUCACCGCAUGAUGGUGGCCGGAGAGAUUUUAAUGAAACUACUAGUGUCAGCAAGGACAUGCCCUGUUGCACAACAAAUAUCUGAGCCCAAGCAAAGCAAUCAAAACAUAUAGUCAAGAUCACAGAUAUAUGUGAAACUCGCGAACAAUUUUAUGUUUUCAUACCCCAAGAUAGAUGAAGGCUGAAACGAUGAAAGUCCAGUAACGGCCAAGAUGAGCAUCCGCGAUGUAGGCACCUAGAAUGGGUGUCAGCCAGACAGUGCCAACCCAGUUGGUGACAUUGUUUGAAGACUUCACGGUGCCUUCAUGUAAUUUUCUUGUGAGAUACAGCACUAGAUUUGUUGAUAUUCCAUAAAAUGCCAUCCUCUCAAAUGCUUCAUACCCUUCAAAAUCAUUCAUUAUACGGAAUAAAUUAGAAAAUCAAACCAAAACUUAUUUUCUUCACCUUAAUACAAAAUAGUACAUGAGUUGAAUGUGGUAAAUGUUCCAUUGGAUGAUAUCAGAAUUAUCAAAAGAAGCAAUAGAAUCUUGUUGACAUACCUACAAUGAAGGAGGUUGCUCUCCAUCUCCCUGUGUUUGAUCUUAACACAGGAUUACCCUUGAGGUCAACUGUUCCAUCUUCGGUGUACUCAUCAUCCCCUCUCGUCUUGCCAUUUUCUUCGACUACUCUUUCCAUUGUCAUUGUCAUCUCCCUGUGUUUGAUCUGAACACAGUUCAACGUGCAGCUCGAGUUUAUACUAGACAACCUCUGUCUACCUGCAUAUACAGUUAGCUACAAAUGAAAUGGUGGAUAAUAAUUAAAUCACUAACAGACUAAGACUGAAGUCAGUUUUUAUAUCUGAAAUUCAACCCUUUUCUUAUCUAAAAUAUUCAUGCUGGUAAAAGAACAAAUACAAGUGUCCAAGUAAAUGAAUAUAGACGCCACUUCUUAGUUUUUUCUAGUAAUAUACAAAUGCAGCUGCUAAUAUUUUAGUUAGCAUCAAAAUGUUCAAGUAUGAAGAAUAUCUGGGGCAAGACGGCUACCAACGUUAAUUUGCCGACUGAUCCCCGCAUAAGUGACAAAUAUUCAUGUCUAUAUAGGUAACAAUUUGAAAGCUUAGUAGCCGACCUCAUCAUAGGAUCAGUAAGUACAUCGCUCACUUGUCUUCUUCUUCUUCUCUCUUUUUUUUUUGCCGACUUGUUAAUGGAACUUAUCAGUUAUUAGUACAUCGCUCACUUAUUUAUCUUUUUUCGCUAAGCAGCUCAAUAUUUAUUGAACUUCUAUUUAUCUUUUUUCGCUAAGCAGCUCAAUAUUUAUUUUACCUCUAUUCUGCUUCCUCUCCGUUCACUCAUUAAGCCUUAAAGUAAUUUGUGAAACAACUACCACCGAUAAACUAAUACUCCCUCCGUCCCAAUUCUUUUGUCCUGUUUGACGUUUUGUGGACAAAUAGACUCAAUUUUGACUGAAAUUUACAUAUAUUAAAUAAUUGAAAAAAAUUAUAAAAAAUAUAUUAUUAGAAUCUACAUUUAUUCUACUUUAAGAUGUAUUUUUCAAUUACUAGAAAUCAUAUAAGGAUAAUUAUUCAUUAACGAUCAAAGUUGGGUCAAUUUGACCACAAAAAAUCAAACAAGACAAAAGAAGUUGGUAGGACGGAUUUUGUAGAGUUUGUUUUUGUCAUUAUAGUGUUACCACCCGUAUUUUCUUACAAUUUUGUAAAUGACAGGUUUUUGAAUUAAAUCUUGUAUUAGUAUGAAUUUGAUUAAUAAUAUUAAUAUGAACUCUUUAUUUAUUUGAAUUCUAAAACAUGACAAAUUUUUAUAAACUUGUUUUAUAAAUUAAAUUGUUUGAGUUUUAAAAACUAAAAACAAAUUAACAAUUCUAUUGAAGGUACAUGUGACAUUACAUAAAAAUUCUAAUAAAAUAAUUGUACUUCUUAAAUAAAAAAUAUAUAAGUUUCGGUGCUGGUGAAAAGGGCCGCACUCCUGCAGUAUCUUUGGAUCAUAAAGGAUGCUCUUCAGAAGUCCACAUCUCAUCAUCCCUGAUUUAAAAAUUUUAAAAAUUUCAGUGAAGCAGUAAAAAUGGAGACAGAGAUAAGUUAGUACUAACAGAGAGUGAUAAGUUUACCAUCUGAUAAUCGGAAUAUGUUGAAUCUUGAACCAUUCUGGCCCACUCUCUUUCCUGUAUCUUUCUUUCAGAAUUGGACACUCACUUAUGCGUAGAAAUCGGAGGCAAUGAGAUUCAUCAAACAGAGACACUCUCUCCAAAUCCUUACAAUUCUGAAUAGAUAAGUCCGCAAGAGAUGGAAGCUUCGCUAUUGACAGGACAAGAUCUUUCAUACCUCCGAAAUCACAUAUAAAUAACUCGGUCAACGCAGGGAAGGUGGAGAGCUGAAGCUGCUCAAAGAGCGCUAUUGACUUUACCAUUUCCGUCCCUCGCAGAGACAGCCAAACUAGGUUAGGGAAUGAAUGUAAUGAAGAAGAGAAUGGCCAUGGAAAUUCAUCCGAGAAGGGACCUAAGCUUAAUUCUCUAAGUGUGGAACUCUGAAUUUGGGUGGAGAUUCCAUCUAGAAGAGAGGAGGGGAGCCCGCUUAAGUAGAGAGAUCUUAGACCAGCUGAUCCUUCAACUAAAUUAAUACUUACUAGAUUCGGGCAAUCAUAUACAGACAAGAUCUUAAGAGAGACACCAAGGGUGAGAUGCUGUAAACCCUUGCAGUCAACUAGGUCUAAUGAGGUCAAAGACAGAGAAUUAUUUUUCAAUAGCACUUUGAGUAUUGAUUCCAAGUUUGAACAAGAAGAAGAAGAUGAUGAUGAUGAUGAUGAUGAUGAUGAUGAUGAAUCUCCUCCUCCGUCCCUGAUAUUCUGCAGUUUUAAAGUGGUGAGUGAGCUAACAUGCAUAUACAUACUUUCUAGUAUUCUCUCCGAAUUUGUAAUACUCAAAUCUUUCAAGGACGGAAAACAGCUAUUCAGGAUCUUUCUCAACUUUGGACAAUCUGAGAUUUCCAACUCCUCAAGUUUAGGGAAUACAAUUUGGUCUUUACCCCCUUUACUCAAAACGUCUUCCACCCAUUCUUCUAGCUUUGGCAAUCUCCUCAAAGUGAGUGUUGUCACUGACGGAU